CCUUCAUUGCUUGCGCCUCUCUCUUCUUCUAUCUCCAGUGAUCUUCUCUAUAAAUUCAUGCAUGCCCGAGAGCAAAGAUAUAGCCAUUUGCGACAAGAACUCAGUAACCCUUCUAAGUUUCAAAGCUUCUUUUUCACGUUAGUCCACCACCAUGUCAAGCACCUGCGGCAACUGCGACUGCGCUGACAAGAGCCAGUGCGUGUAAGUAUCAUCAAACCCUACUUUUAGCAGCACAAAGUAUUACAGAAGAUAUUAGGGUUACAGUUGGUUUAGUUAAAAACCUGGUUGUGUAAGGCCUGUUUACUUUAAUUUCUUGAAGAAGUUUCCUUGCUAGCUGCAACUUGUGUGUUGAUUAUUGAUGUUAUGCACUUUGAUAUUUGCAGGAAGAAGGGCAGCAGCUACACUGCUGACAUAGUUGAGACUGAGAAGAGGUAUGCAAAGCAAAUUCAAUUAAUAAGCAAUCUCACCCAACAUAUAAUCACUUGAAUUGUAAUAUCUUAUUCAAGAUGAUACAAUACGAGGGUUAAUUUUGAUUCAACAGUUAAGUAGCUUGGUUAUAACAAUAACAAAACAAGAUAAUUACUAUGAAUAUGUUAUGAACUUGAUUACUUUGAUUUUAGGUUUUACACUUGGAUUCCAGUACUAAUGGGAUGUUUCAUUUCUUGCAGCUUCGUCUCCACUAUUGUUAUGGAGGUUCCUGCCGCCGAGAACGACGGCAAGUGCAAGUGCGCUGCUGGCUGCACCUGCACUACUUGCACUUGUGGUCACUAAACUUAUAAAAGCAAAACAUAUAGGGUCGUGUGAGUGUGAGGCUGCAGGGGAGUUGCUAAUAAUGUGAUUGUGCUAAAUAAUCCUUGUCUCUGUUGUAAAGCAUGUGGGAAUGGGGUGAAAUACUCAUUUCCUUGCACAGUCGUGUAAUGGCCAUAUCACCGUAUGGCCUUUGUGUGGCUCAGUUAAUGAAUUAUUAUUAGUAUAAACCUGCUACUGAUCAUCUUUUCCAGUUAUCUAGUCUUUUCGUUCCCCAACAGUUUGAUUCGUAUAUAUAGCUUAUAAUCAUCCUUCUCCAUUGAUAAAGGGUCCCUAAAUAACUAGCAGAGCACACUGUCUGUUUAAAUGUAUUUACUGGUUAAACAGUAUAUAGAAGUCAAACAGUUGUAAUUACAAACGUUAUCUCAGCGAAGCACCCUGCAUAUGGAACCUGAAGAUUCCCUAAAUGAAGUUCCACACAAAAAUGACUAAUUCCACACAUAAACUUAAAGGUAAAGAAGAAAGCUGGAUGCAUAUGCUCUCUACACUAAAACAAGAAAUCGGAUGCCUGCCACUAUAGGUAUCGGCAAUUAACAGUAAAUUUAAAUUUUUGAGAAUUUGUUCUCUAUAUCAGUUGGGAUUUCGGCUUUGUUGCUGUUGUUCUCAGUAUGGGUCCAUGGCAAAAUCAUGAAUGGUUCCAAGUGAGCAGAUAAGAAACAACAUCAAUAUGUUACAAAAUACGCGCAUCAAGAUGUUACAAAAAUACGCGCCUGCUCACGGGAGUCAUCCUUCCAGAUAUGCAAUAGCUUGAGCUGAGCCAUUGAUCUCAUGUCCAAGUUUUUAAAUCAAGAAAAAUAAUAUAUAAAAUUAUUAGAAAGCAGCACAAUGCACAAUGGCAACUCAAGAAUACAUUAGAAGAUCACCACCCACAAAAGUAAGACAACCAAAUAUUACAGUCAAAUCAUGUGCUCUCUUCUACUUUGAAUUGUGAAGACUGCCUCAUAUUUUCAAUAAAAUGCACAAGUCAAAACACAAGUUAUCAAGAAAAAACAGCCUGUUUCUUAUUUUAUUCCUCAACUAUUUUGGUAUGUAUAGUCCCAAAAAGCAGGUAUCCUAGGGCCCAAAAUACAUAAGUCAUCAACUUAACCAUUUGAAUCGAUCUCAAACGUUAAAACCUUCAGCUCGAAGGCACUGACGAUGAGCAUCAAUCCAUUUUGUGCAAGCAGUUUCACCAUGCUCCACAAUGCAUUCAUCUCUCAGCUUCUUGGUUUCAGGGCAGGCACAGCAAAUCUUCUUCUUUGGCUUUGAUUCUGGUACAGAUGUUGAGUUUGCUGAACCCUUAUUUUGCCCUGAUCCUGGCAGAGCAAAGGUUGAGGAAGCAUUUUGCAAAGGCAGCCCACCCAUUGCCGCAAAGGACCAAAAGAUAUCACUGCAAGAGGGACUCUGGAGAACAAGAAAGAACGAAGAAAAUCAAAUUCAAAUCAAAGAAUAGAAGAAGAAGAAGAAGAAGAAGAAGAAGAAGAAGAAGCUAGAUCUCUUCUCUGCUGCAUAGCAUCUAAUAAGUCAUUCAUAAAAGAAAUCGGAUAGAUCUCUGCUCUAGCCAGAAUAUAGAUAAGAAAUCCAUUAAUCUCUCAUUACAAACUUAUUCUACUACAUAGCAAUCACACUUCUAAUGGAAUUCUAAAACAAACAUUUUAGCGCAAGUUGGGACCCAUUAAUGAAUAUCAUCAACAUUUUCUUUAAGAAGGGCAAAAAUAUCCACCAACACUGUAGAGGAAUAAUGAAAGUGAUUACCAAAAUAAUUUGCAUCAUACUGGGCAUAACUUAAAAUGCAUAAAUAAUUUGCAUCAUGCUGUACAUAUCUUAAAAUGCAUGGCCUUAUUCGUUAAAUCAGAUGACCAUUGAUCCAAGUGCCUUCAUAUGCCACUAAUGAUAUGAUCACUGGUUCAAGAGCAAGGUGCACCGCCCUGAAAAGUGAUAUCUAUCCUUGAACAUCAUUGAAGCUUGUUGACUCAAAUUAAACAUUCUACUUAAAUAUUUUUGCAUAAAAAAUAAUUAACCUUUGGUAUUUACUAAGAGAACAAUAAUCAUUACUCAACCUCUUCCCAAUAAAUUUCACAGCCAGAAAUAAGCAAUGGAGACUACCAACAAGUUUAGGACUACACAGGAAGGUGUAAUCAAGUUGCAAUUCUUAACCUUUGAAGAGAAUGAGAUUACACCAACAAAUCCAACACAUUGGAUGUUCAAUUCACUUCUAGCUAAAUCUAAUUUGUCAUGAGUGACAGAACUAUAGCAUAAGAAGUAAUUUUAUUUGCAUUCCUCCCUCAGAAUCUCCCACUUCAUCAUUCUAAAUUGCAUUAACCCUUCAUAUAUCACAACAACUUUCAUUAUUCAUUUCGCAGAAACAAAAAGAUUUUCCAGAAAAGCGAACCUAGAAAAAAAAAAUGCAACUAAAGAAAACAAAAUUGUUAACAAAAAAAAAACAUAAAUACAGUAUUGAUGCCAAUAAUUCGCUCCUGAAUCACAACAAAUAUCAACAACUAAACAAAAAUAGGAAAUCAAACAACUUGACACAAUUAAAACAUAGCUAUUUCGUCCAACAUAAGGAUAUCAAACUCAAACAAAAAAAAGAAAAAAAAAAAAAAAGAGGAGGAACUUAUAAUCGGUAUUAUGGAAGACCGUUGGAAAUUUUAGAAAGGAAGCGAGGGACCAUAAGCUUGAAUAGAAUAAGUGAAAAGGAGGAUAAUUUUGCAAAGGACAUAUCAUGUUGAUUAUCCAUUAGAUAUUUUGUAAAUUUUUAGUUGAAUCUUCAAUAUUGAAAUCUAACUAUCGAAAUAAUACACUCAAAGGUUCAAUUCAAACACGAGUUAUUUUUGCAUGUAACAAUUGCUCAAGAAGCUAUAUGUUCCGCUGAGAAGAAAAAAGGGUUAGAAGCAACCCUAGGCUUAGAAACUCACCUGAUUGAGAAAGGAUGUUUCAGAGACUGCAAGGUUGAGUUUUGGGGGGUUGAUUUUGAACUGGGAGGGUUUUUGGGUUUCCAGAAAUCAAGAAACUAUGGGCUGGAGAACCUGAAGAAAAGAAGAGGCUUUACGUGGUGUAUAAAAUGACAUCGUUUAUACCCUUUUCUUUUGGGUUAGGGUUAAUUACAUAAUCUCCUCCAAUAUUUAACAAUUUGAAAAGAAUAGUUAUUAUUAUUAUAAUUUAAAUAUGACUUUUUAAUUAUAGUAGACCCAAGACCUCUAAUAGAAAUACAUUUAAAGCCCACAGUAAGCUAUUUGAUCUACCGUAGUAGGAACAAAAAACGCGCUGCACAUCUUCCAUGAAGCUCCGGAGCCUUUGUUGACGUAAAAACUCAUUAGAAAAGGUCGCUCCAACAACUCAGGCCACACAUCCUUUUGAGGAUGUUAUGUUACUUCGAGAACCGCAUAUUCUCACAGCAUGAAUCACCGCCUAGAAUUUCGAAUUCCUGGGUAUAAGUUGCGUGCUUAGGUUGAUUUACUUAUUUAUUAAAGCACAAAUUCAAUGAUAUAAUUAAAAAGUCAAGAUUUUCCACAUCAAAUACAAGUAGGAUUGGAUUUGGAGUUGCCGUCUAACAUCCCAGAUUAAUUUAUUAAAAGAAAACCUGCAAAGCAUUGAUAAUAAGGUAAAAAAAGGGCUCUUUGAAUUGGCUACAACAGCAAGAGAAAGGCAGCAAAAAUAAAAUUUCAGAAUUCACAUUUCUCAACAUCAAAUAUACAGGGACAAGAUCGAAUUAGUGGGAAGUUCAGAGAUUGAUGAUAUUAGCUAAAUUAAAGCUUCAAAUGAAAGAAAAUAUGCCAAUAGCAGAUCUCAUUGGCCAUCUCCAUUUUACCUCCAUUUUAAAGAUCUCAUAAACAAGAUUUUGCAGCAGAAAUCCAGGAUCUUAUCUAUGCUUACCACCUUUGCCUCCAAUUUAUAUUUUCACUCUACAAUGCACACCAGAACGCCAAAGAUCCCACCUGUGAAAACUCAGCUUUCUUCACUAAUUCCAGCUGAAAUUUAUUCAAACGAAGCCCCAGAGGGCAGGGCAUGAUCAAGUUCAGUAAGGCCAACUGUGUGCUGUCGCUAAUCAUACUUCUCUCUCCAUGAGUAAACAAGAAAAAAAACCCAGGAAAGAGCCAAUGCAAUAUCUCCUACAACCUGCCUUGGCAAAUCAUGAGCCAGAUCUUCAAGCUUCCACUCAAAGUAAAUUCUCCAGAAAGCCACUGCAACGUGAAUCAGCACACAACCCUUUGCAAAAAAGCUUUGGAAUUCUCUAUCCUUGACAAAUGCCACCAUGAACAACAAGAAACCAAUUGCAAACAAGAGCAACCCAGAAAAGGAAUCAGAGGUUUGGAUCAAGAGUUGAUCAUGGGGUGUUGAUCCUUUCAGCUUAGAAGCUACCUCAAUGCCAUGGCCAAACACAGACGCCUCAUUUGUGUAAAACAUCAUCAGAGCUCCACAUGUUAGAGCUAUCAACGAAUGAAGCAUACAUAUCAAAAAGAACCCAGAUGAGCCCAUUUGGUCAGGCACAAGAUAAAGUUUCUUAUCUUCCCCUUCUUCCGACACAAAUCAAGUACAAAUAGCUUAACAACAAAAGCCAACGUACUUUGUCAAUAAGAACCCAAUUGAUAAGAACCCUAAUUGUAUCUCGAGUUAAUGGGCGAUCAGAAAGGGAAAGGAGAUGGAAUCACCCACCAAAAUCCUAACCCAGGAUUCAUACAAAAAACCAAAAACGAAAACCCACUGAACAACACACCAAAAAGGUCUUCGUAACCAAAUGUAACAUAACUUUAAAUGAAGAAUCGGAACAUAUUAAACACGAAACCACACAUAAACAACUUAAAUUUCAAUUUUCUAGCCAACUGAAAGAGCCCACUUUUCCAGCUACAAAAACCUCGAAAGUUCUAACCUCAAAUUUUUGCGUAGAGCCCAGUCGCAGAGAGAAAUCCAAGAAAGAAAAAAGCUUUAUAUCCAACAACCACAAGAAGACUGAAGGGGCAAAGAAAAGUAAACAAACGAAUCGACGCUGGGCUGGAGUGGGGUUUUAGCAGGGAGAUUCUUGUUCAAUUUUGGAUACAAGCACAAGGGUUGCUGUCAUUCUGCUUAAUUAAUGGAUACAAAUUCAUAAUUUUGUGGGUCUCCUUGUUUAAAAUUAAAAUUAAUAUAUACAAAUUCUGGAGAAAUUUUUCUUAUGUCAUUAUUCCUAUCUUAAUUCAUCUUAUCCGAUAUAUAUAUAUUUUCAAUUUUUUCUACAAUGCUUUCUUACAGCAUUUCAAACUUUAGGGCAGAGUACAGAAUGGAAAUGGAACUGAUCUUAGAUUGAUAUACAUAAAUAAUAUAUAUUUUGCUAUCGCCCUAAAUUGGUCUUGAUGAUUAUUUUUUAUUUAUGGUAUGUUUUUAAUCAAUUGUGACGAUUUUUUUGAAAUAGAAACAAUUAUUAUCAUGAUUUUUUAAUAAAUAGUAUAAUAAAAGUUAAUUUUUAAAUGGAAAUUGAUACGUAUUCGAAAGCAUACCAUCACGUCACCUAUCCGCAAAAUGUCAUGCUUUUCUGCUUGAUCUGCUACCCAAUUUAACGCUUGUGGGUCACGGACUUAUGGGUCUACUCAACGGUGUGCUUUUGUUUUAGGCAUCAAAGAGUAGAAUCUCUAUUUAUUGGACAAUUACCUUUAAUCUUUUUCCUUUUUUAACUAUACAAUGAUUCAUUGUAUUUCCAAGCAUCUAGAGCAGAGUAAAAGAGACUUGUAAAAUAAAAAAAAUUAAAAGCCAUUAAAAUUAAAUAACAUAUUAUCAACUAUAAUUGCAAUUAAUUCAAACCACUGAAUAAAAAAACCAUAUAUCUAAAAAUUAAAAACCGCACUUAGUUCAAACCACCGAAUAAAAAAACAAUAUAUCUAGAAAUCAAAGCAAAGCACAAUCUAUCCAAAGACACCGCUUUGAUGAACUACCACUAUUUAGACAUUCAAUCACAUAUGACUGAUAUAGGGCAAUCACAACACCAAACAAAAUAAACACAAUAAAUGAAAAAAACUUAAGUAAACCCACAUGCAAUUAUGAAAUAUAGAGACUUUCAACAUAAGAACAACUUCCAUUACUAAUACUAGAAGCAGAACUUAGUCGAACAACGGCAAUAGCGAUGCGAUCUUAAAAUGCCAAUUUCAUUGAGCCAAAUGUCCUUUCCAAAGAGAAUUGAAAAAAUCUCAAUUGCAAGUUUGUCAUUGAGUCAAAUCUCCUUUUUCAAAAGAGAAUCAAAAAAAUCUCAAAUACAAAUUUCCCAAAAUGCUCCGCUCGCAGAUAAAAGCCAAAACCUACAACUAAACCAAAUAAAAGAGCUGCCAACAAACAAAAGUCUCAUAGGGCCAUCCCAACAAGAGAGAGUGUGGAGGCACAAACAAUUAAAAUAAAAAUAAUAAUAAUAAUAACUUCUCCCCUAUCCAAAGGUAGGAAAAAAUAAAUCCAGCCUCUUAAAACAUCCAAAUAAGAAAAGAGUCAUCAAAAAUCUAAAAAUCUAUUCCGAUAAAGUGCGACUACAGGAGGCUAGUCUCUCUCCUCCCUCUUUCUCUUUCUGUUCUUCCCACCUUUCACCUUUCUCCUUUCUCUCCCCUUUUUUCGUUCUCUCCCCUUCAAAAAAAAUCUUAUCAGACUAGUAAUUUAUUCUAUUUUUUUUAAUUUGCAUUAAAUUUUUUUAUAAUUAAUAAAUACUUAUCUAUAAAUUUGUAAAGAAAAAUUUCCAAAAGUCAAAAGGUAUCUAUAUAAUAAGUAAUUUUUAUUAUUAUUUAAAUCCGUUUUACAAUUAGUCAUUUAAAAUAAAUAAUAAGGAACUAUAUUUUGAACUUUUGUUGGUGCCUUUUUGAAGAAAGAACAAUUUAGCCAAAAUUUUAGUUUGGUGUCUUGAAUUCGAAAAGGGUAUGGACGUAUAUGGUUGAUUUUCCAUGGACGACUUUCCUUUGGUGGCAAGCGAUCCCAUCUCGAAUAUCAAGCUUGGAUUGGUUAGUCAUAAUUAAUUUAUUAAUAUGUUUAUAUCAACCAUAAAUUUCAUUUAUUUUUUAGUAGUGAACCAUAACUCUAUCAAUAAAUUAUUUAUUUGAUAGUCAAAAGUGAAGAGAGAUGAAAAUGAGGAUAAUGGUGGAUGGAAUGAUGGGUUGCAACGUGGGAUUGGAAUACUUUACUAUAUCUGAAGCUGUAUUGCUUUAAUGCUUUGCGCUGUAUGCCAACCCAACCUGACAACCACAUUAUUAUAUCAAUCAUAAAGAGAAAUGGGAAAUCAUUGUUCAUAAAAAGAGUGCAAAAAAAACAUCACAGGAGACAUGAGGCAUCCAACACAGCUGUUAGAUUUUGCUGGUACAAAGUCAUUGUUUCCAUUAUUCAUUUCUGUCUUUCAGCUCGUGUGCAAUGUAAUUCCACCCAUAACCUUUUCUUCCUUUUUGUGAUCCCACCAAGAAAGAAGAAUAAACAAACCUUCUGAACUGCAAAUUCUGGAAGGGGACCAACCUCUCCUAUGCAAAACCUCUUCUUUUUCUUUUUAGUUUUCAGUUUACAGAGGGGAUGGGAGGACUGAAAGUAUCACUUUUGAGUGUUUAUCAGUUCUUUCCUGACAAUUGAUAGAAGUGAAGCAUUAUCAUCUUCAUCCUAUUUGAUACCAUUACUGUUCAAGAAACCCACAACAAUAAGGUUAAAAGAUGAAAGUAAAGAUGUGCAUCAAGAAACAUAAAUCAAAUGGCAAGGAAUCAUUGCAGUUUGUAUGUAAUUAUUUGGUUGGAUGUAUUUACAACAAUAAAAGAAUCAACAGAUAUCAACAAUUUGGAAACAAAAUUUUGAGACUCGUGACCUUUUGAUCAUUCUUAAGACUUGUAAACAAAUCCUAUUCCCUGGAGUAGAAACAGGAAGAAAAGGUUAAAUUUUUCUUGCCUGUGAAAUGACUUGCUUGUCCCUAUUACCAGCAACAGACUUGCGGUGAUGUCUUGGAUUAGAUCUCCUAGACCUCCCAUGCCUAGGAUUCUUCCCUGGAGUCCUUCCAGUUCCACUAUCGCGGUUCAGAGGCGGCCUACGUGGAAUAACAGGGGUAACAGGAGGGGACCUGUGCUCUAAUAAGUCUCUGUGAUAAGCCUGUAUGUCAAAAAUCAAGUGCUGAGCAUACAAACAAAGUCAAAAAGUUCACAUGACCUUUUUAUCAAAACAUGGACAGGCAUGAUUCAUGUUAAAUCUAAUUAACUUCUUCCUAAUCUGCUUUGCAGAGGUGAAUUUUAGCUUCAAAUGCUGAAGACAUGGAGAAAAAAAUAAAUAGUGUCAAAUUUACAUCACUGAAGUUGAAACAAACAGACAGUUUGCUCACAUACACCCAGCGGAGAAGCCAUUCAGAUUUUACAUUUCAAAACCAUAUGGUGCACCCAACUUCUCAUACUCUGGAAACUGGGGAAGAAAGCAUAUCAAUAUGCACUACCAUUAUAAGAAAAAAAGAUGAUGACAACCAGCAAACUAGGGCAAAUCUUAGUGCUGUGGUCCAGAUGCUCACAUAAACACAAACUUAAGAUGAUAUGACAAAAUAUAUAGUUUCAAAAAAAUUAUAAUUUUCUACAAAUCUUCUGAAAAUAAGGUUUUAUUGUUAUAAAAUUAUAAUUCAUUCAAUGUCAACAAGUUAGUAACUUAUCUGGAAAGAACAUGUCCCAUACAAGUCAUUGACAAUACAUAAGCAGAUACCUGAAUCACAAAAUUACGCCUUUCACAGUCCAAAAUCAUAUUAAUGCUCCAUUUAACUUUUUCCAUAAUUUUAUCCCGUACUGUGGAAAAGCUUAACUGAUCCCUAGAAGUAAACCGAUCAACUUCAUUGAACCAUAAGCAGGUGAAAAGAUUUGUAAUGGGGACAUGUUCUCUUAUAAUAACACAACCUUCUGGAACAUCUGCAAGAACGCAGUCAUAAAGAUAUAAAUAUAGAGAUAAAUGAUGGAAAACAGAAAACACUCAAUUCAACAUAAUGAAGCACAUACCACUAGUUAUUGGAAACUUAGCACUAUAGUAUGAUGUUAAGCCCUCCCUUUUAUAAAAUUCAAUCUGGUAAUCAAUGGAGGUAUUGUCAUACUUUCCAGCAGCUUUGUUAGCUUCAGCCUCUUCAAACACAUCAAAGCGCCUGUAAUGUCUUGAGAUUGCAAAAUUAGCAUUUUGGCUCCACAAGAACCUGAAAUCCAAAAAUAAAAAUAAAAUUUAACUAGUUUAAUUAUCAAAGUUGUAAAUUCCUCUGUUUAGGGUCCAGUCCAGACAUGCAAUCCAUGAUGAUCUACAAUGGAAAUGUUUAUACCAAAACUACUUUAAAAUGAAUUAAUAUAUCCAAAAGUCACAUGCAAACUUGUUCGCUGAUAUGAAACAGCAUGAUGAUGACAUAUUCAUAUCCAUGUAGCGAAAGCAUUAUUUGCUUUAUACAUGAUUUAGUUCCCAAGGGAAUGCAUAUUGAUAGGGUGAGCAAACUUCGGUCACAACCAAAAAAUAAUCAUAUCAGAUCGAACCAUGUUAAUUCAGUUUUGGUGUAAAAAGUUCAGUUUGGUACAAUUUUGUAGAAAGUUUUUCAGUUCAGUUUGUUUAUUUAGCCAAAAAAAAAAAAGAAUAGUAACUAAACUGCUGAUUUUGGCUUAUUAAAGAGGCUUGACUCAUCAUCCUUUCUCCUUGACUUAAUAAACAGGCCUAUGUUUUUAGUCUUCUAAUGCAGCAGGCCGAUAACCUUUUCCCUUGCAGGCCCACAGCCCUCUAAUAAUUGAAUUCCCUAGCACCCUUUAGAUUCUAAUCCCUUCUUGUGCCAUUUGGAACUGACUCUGUCCAUCCAUUCUCGUCUCUUGAUGCUUGACUCUGUACUUGUUGACACAAAUCCUCUCGGUGGUAACUAAGCUCUAGGGCUCUGGGUUCUGUGAUUCCUCGACCUUGCAAUCACUUGGCAUCAUGGUUUCCAUGCUCAAUGAGCACAAGAUACUCCAGAGUCCAAUUGCCAUGCAUGUGUCUCCCCAGUGAAAUUUGUUGGGAAAUUUGGUGUUUAGGCUUGGUUUGAGAUAGAAAUUUGAAGGGAACUAAGAACAUGCACAUUUGUGAUUAUUAUUUCAUUUUGUUUUCAAUUGACUUUUUACGUAUAUUGAAAACUUUCUACCAUUGGUUGUUGAUCACUUGAAUGUUCAGUUUUUUUCUUUAUUUGAAGGUUAGAAUUACAAUUGUUGGAUGAUGUAUUGCUGAAAAUAUUCAGAUAAAGCAAUUGAGUAUGAGCAUGGAUUUUUGUUAUUAGAUUGCAUAUUUCUUCUGCUUAUACCUGCCGAUCUUGUGUUUGUUGAGGGAGAGAUAACAGCAAAACUGAUGGAACGACUCGAAACUUUUUUGUUUGGAAUGACUUUAUUUUCUUUGUACUUUGGUUCAAUUCUCAUAAUUUUAAAUUUUCAUUUUUCGGUUACAUCAAUUCAGUUUGAUAUUGAAACAACUGAUUGCACACCCGUAUCUAUUGGUUGGAUUUAGGAUUUCAAAUUGGAGAUUCCAAGUUGAUGUGUUUUAUGAAAUGAGGGUGGACUACCCCAUAUCAAGUAGAAAGGUGGAUAAUUUACAUAAAUGAUACACCAACUUAGGGUGUGUAACAGUAAAGUACAUAGACUUUAUUUAUUUUGUAACAUAAAACCCUUCAACUUCUAUUUUAAGUAACAUAAAACUCCAUUUCACCCGCAAUAGCAAGUUUCUAAGUUACUUUGUUGCAUGACACUUGUUAAAUUAAACACAUAUUUAUAUUUUCUAUCUCAUCUCUAAUAUUUCUUUUCAAAGAAUAGUUUGUCUUUAUGAGCAGUUCAGUGGCCUUUUUGCUUAAUUAACUCUAAGUUAUUUGGAGUCAAAGUGCUGGUUAUGUUGAGUGCGAACUCAGCAAGCUUAUCCAAGCCCGAGUACAAACAAAAGGGGGUGAAGCUUGAUGUACGAGGGAGACUAAUCAGAGCAUGAAAUAGGAAACUCAGCUGGGUUCAAUUUGUUUAUGACCCUAAAAAUUAUGAUAAAAGCCUCAAAUGUCAAGCAUUAACCUUAAAAUACUAACAGGCAGUUGACAAAAUUUCAUAAUCAAGCCUAGUUAUUCGAUCCAAAUAGCAAGAAAAAACAUUUGAUGCUUAUCAAAUUGAUGUCCCAAGAAAUUUAAAAGAAAUAUGCACGAAGUUGGGAAGUGAAAGUAAAAGUGUGAAAAACAUAUCUCGAUGAUUAUUCAUGACCACUAAACAAAGCAAAUUCAAACAGAAAAUGGGUUGUACCUCUCAAGAACUUGAUAGGGAUCCACAACAAGCUGGAGUUUUCCAUCAAUCCAUAUGGAAUAUCGAACAUUGGGUAAGAUCCUAUGCAACAGAAGCUUUGGGACCUGCCCAUUUCCAUGACAGAGCAACAACAUCCUUCCCUCUUAGUACAAUAACACAAGGUUUUGAAAAUCAAUUCAUAAAAUUAAAAAUGACUUUUAGCACAAAUAAGUGUUUUAGAAUUUAAAUAGAUCAAAAUGAAAAGCUAUAAGGUGAUCAAUUGCCAGAAAAUUGAACAUCUGUUGCUAUGCUAGGAUUUGUAUUAACAAUUUUUUAUUACCCACCUAGAUAUCAGCCAACUAUAAACGAAUUACUCAAAAGAAAACCUGGCUUCUUCAUUUUAAACAAUAUAUAAGAAACAGGAAACAGGAAGAAGAAAAUAAUAAUUCUCGUUUUAAUACUUUCACAAUCUGGAGUGUUAGGUCGACCCAAAGAUUUUAAGCAUUCAAUCAUUCUCAAGAAAGAAGAGAGAGAGUCCAGAUCAUUGCAGGCUUUGCAGACAAACAAAUAUCUACUCUUCUUUAGUUAUGCUACAGUCAUACAUGUACUUUACAUGCACUACCUGAUAUCUACUUACUUGGAAUGGAAAUCAACAAAGGCAGUCCAGUAGCUGUGAGCCUGCCCAAACCAAUAUAUGUAUUUUCCAAAGAAGCACCUAAAUGUCCAACACACAAGUCCUUAUGGCCAUGGACUGUUAUUUAAAAAGAAAAAAUUUCAAAAACCACAAACCUAAGAAGAAGUUUCCAAUUUUAACAUGAGCGCCACAAGAAGUCAUUCUAUGUGUUGAGGUCCUUUUUUAUUUUUUUUUUCUUGAUUAGUAACCCAUUCUGUUUUCCUUUUAUUUUUAUUUUUUUAAAUUUUUCUUGCUAAUAACAUUUUAUUUCCCUUUAUAUCCAGGCAUGAUAGACAAUAGCAGCAAUUUCUAGUAGGAAUGAGCAGCUAGAGAGAAUAGUGGCAAUCCAAAAGGAAGGCGAGAAAUGCAGCUGUCUGACAUGUGAUUCAUGAGAGCUGAGGUAAGUUACAUCAAGAAGAAUUUAUCAGAUAAUAAAAGGGAGUAGAGAGUCUAAUCAUCCAUUGAAAGAGUUCCUGGGCCAAGGAUCCUUUUUGGAAUUCCUUUGAUUUUUUCUUUUUGUUUUCCAUAUUAAAAAAAUUACUUUAUUGAGAGAGAUUCUCCAGAAAAGGCUGUUGAAAUGUUGCUGCAAGUCUAUUAAUCUCCAAUUGGAAUGAGAAAUAAACACAACUCCAAAUCUCAUUCUCUCUCAAACUUACUUUUUAAAUUCCCAACUCUAACAGAAUUAUAAUGCAGGCAUACAUGCAGACAUACGCAUGCACGAUGUGUAUAGAAACACCCACUUCAGGUAACCUGCGUGUUGCAAGCAAUCCCUGCCCCAGCUUUGAUGCCUAAAGAAAUUUAAGAAAGAUACAUCAGAAAGAGGCAAAUCAACAAAACUGAAGUAAACUGAGUUACCUUUCCAUUACGUCUUGUGUCAUUGUAAGGAAUGUUAUGGACAACAAUAAUCCUCCAUAAUCCAACCUUCAUACUGCUAUCCAGGACAGUAGAAUUCUUCAUAUAUGUCUCUGUCUCUUCAUCAACAAACAUGUAGAAAGGAACAUUUUUCCUUGAUGCUUCACUAAUGUUCUUGGGCUGUUGGAUUAUGUCAUAGUUCCCUGGAAAAGAAGCAACAAUAAGGAAAGUGUGCAUAAAACAAGAUUUUAGUAUACUGGCUUAUGCACAAGCACAACCAUACCAAAUAUAGCUGAUACAACAAUGACUUCAUGAAACUGCUCCAACUCCAUAAGAUCAGCUUCAUCAAUAUCAAAUCCAGUCUGGUGACCUGGUUUACGUCCUUUGACAAAUCUGAUAAAAGAAUAUGCAUCAGAAGAUAGACACAUAUAUCAUAAAUAACUUGAAUUUGUCACAACAUAAUAUAUUCCUCUAAAAGUUUACAUUAAACAAAAAUUCUUGCCAAAAAAAAAGAUGAAGAAGGAGAAGAAGCAAAAUAGACAUUACUACGAAAACAAAAGGACUGACCUAGUGGAUUAAUCCUUAAAUUAUUGAAUGGUUAAGUAGAUUUGGCUUGAUAGGAGCAAGGCUGGUCAAGAAAGGGUUCACCUUCACCCCCUUGACCUUUCUUGAUGCACUUGGUCAGCCCAUAUGUCUUUAGGAGGCGGAGGUAGUGGGCUUGAACUUUAAACAAAAAUUUGUCCACUCCUCAAGAUUGUGCGCCGUGUCAUAUCAUCAAAGACUCUCAAAAUCACAUUCCCUAUAUAUAACCCCUUUAUUUCCCUUUUCUGGGUUAUUGGGAUCAACCUUGGAAAUCCCAGCCACUCUCUCCCUAAAAAAAUCCUUCAAACCUUUCAUGUCAACCACCAACCAAAAUUCUCUUGCACAUCAAUUUUAUCAACAUUCUCUCACUUCAUUAUCAGUUAUCUACCAACUUGCAUCCCAUUUGUUUCACCAUCCUUUACUACCUCAGAUUCCCCCUUGUAUCUCUCACUUAUAUCUUGUACAGUUGUAGUAGUCCCAACAUGCCACACAGAAAAAUGUCCAUUAAGAUUGUUUGCUCUUCCUCCCGUGCCUUUUCUUAUUUCAUUCUUUUCCCCAUGGGUGUUAUCAGUGGACAACUCUACCCUCACAUUCUUUUGACACAAGAAACCCAUAUCUACAGGAGGCACCAUAGUUCAAUGUACAACAAAGUUCAUGAAAAAUUCAUUCAGGAUGUCUCCGUACUUGUAAUUUCACUUAAGCAACAAGAUAAAAGAGAAUGGUACCUACCCACAAUGCACUGUCAUUGACUCUCGUAUAUCAAAAGAAUCACUCCUCCGCUUUAAAGAAGGAUAUCCACCAAAAUUGGAACCUCCAUGAGGUUCAGUUUUCAGUGGGUUUUCAUCAACAACAUAUGUUAGAUUCCGAAGCACUGGUGAUACUGAUGGAGAACGUGGCAUCCUAGCUCUUGCUUGCUCCAGAGGUAUGUAACAAACUGAACAGGCUGAAGGACAUACAAGAGGAACAAAACCAAAAUUAAUGUGAACAGGCUACAUACUAAAUUCAGGUAGUUUUACUGAUCUUUUUGUUUUUGACAUAGGGCCUGUUUAACAUUUUUGUUAGAGCUGCUGUCGAGAAAAGCACUUUCUUAAAAGUACUAUUUAGAAAAUAUUAAAAGAAAUUUAAAAUUAUUUUCGAGAUAUUUAGUCAUGAGAACACCAAAUAACAAAGCAGUUUUUCCAAAACUGCUUUUUUCCAACAACAUCUAAAAUGGUGCUUUUUCUAAAAAGCACUUUUCUAGCCUCCAAACUCAAUGCUAAACAGGCUCAUACUCUAUCAAGUCAAGAUGUCCACAGGUUCAUCUUUUUAGAACCACACAUAUGGAUUAGUUCUUCAAGCUACUAAAAUGAUAAUGCCAAUAGUAUAUUGAUUGCAGCUUUAUGUCACUCUUACUUUAAUUAAAGUAAAGGGCAGAGUCUAGUUGUAAGAAAAUUAUUUAUAGCUUUUAAUAUAUUCAUAUCAAAAAGUCAAGAAGUUAUUUUUUUCUCACAGAUUCAUGCACCAGUAGUAACUCAUACUUGGGGUGCAGUACAAUCUAUUAAUCAUGCGCAGAUAAUUAAAACAAGAUGAUGAAGAGCAACCACCAUCAAGAAUCUCAAGACUUACGACGUGGUCCAAGCUGUCUUCCAACAGGUGGAGGGGGAGGAGGGAGUGCAAAUUUGUUGCAUGGAUGUUCUGAUGAACCACUAGCUGCACCAGCAUGUUGAUGGAGAGGAGAAUAAUCACUCAUUUUAAAUUUUAGCACCGUGUGAACAUCAAGUGAAGGGUCAUUUGAUUCUUUAGCAUUUGAAUUUGUGCUUUCUGUUGCAUCAUCAUACAAAAGUAUAAACUAAAAUGCAGUGAAUAACCUAAUAAGAAAUACCAUGACAUCCUAGGUGAAUGGGGAAACAAAUUAAUAGGAUCUUUUCAUUUUGGGUUGAUGGUUAUUCUAAUCAAGCUGCAUUUCCAUAUGCAUUGCUGCCAAUAGUUAAAUGAGAAAAUAAGAAUUCCCUCUGUCUGCUUUCCCAUGAAGAACUUGAAUCAGAAUUCAUAAUAUUUGUCGGGAAAAAAAAAGCUACUAGCGAAUGAUGGUACCCAAUGUGUGGUCCUGAAAAGGGUAACAUAGAUAGUCCUGUCUUUAGGCAUGCUGAAUUCCCAUUCAGAAUCUCAGGAAUUUUGGCAUGACCCUACAUAUCAAAAAAAAAAUCGUGUUCCAAGUUUAGAAUAAUUCAAUGAGGCUGGAAAUGGAAGUGCUGGCUGAUUCCUCUAUAAAUUCAAGAAACAAGGUCCUAGGUUUGGUUCACUGUUUCACAUAGAAAUAGAACAAUUAAACCCCUUAUAUAUUCUGAUGCAAGAAAGAAUAGCCAAAUUAUUCAAAUUAUAAACUUUCCACCAAAAAAAAAAACAUUUGGUAACCAAUUCAAUACUAUAUCUAAUUUUUCACUUCAACCACGGGACUAGACUCAUUUUUGCUUUCACCAAUGUGUAAAGAACAAACAAUGAAAACUAAUAAAUAGAUGCCUAAUCCUUCAUGAACAGAUUAUUUGCUUGCUACUUUUAAUCAAUUGUCAUCUAUGACAAAAGUGAACUACAUCAGAACAAAGACACGCCCAAAUUAUACAAAUUUGAUGCAAAAGCAAUAAUAUACAUGUUUAAAUCAAGUUAGUGCUCUUGCUUAUAACAAAAUAGCAAACAUGUUUAAAUCAAACCUUUGCUAACCGUAAUGGAACCCCAAAUGAAAACUAGGAGAGCAAGUGCAACCAAAAGUAUCAUUGCAACCCUUCUUUGCCCCAAGUACCCACAAAUAACAGGGAGAACGCGCUCUUUCUCCCUCAGACUUGGUAUAAGCAUCUUUGAAGAAGAUUUCCGUGCAAUGGCUGGAAAUUUUGCUGAAGACUGUGAUGACCCAUAGCUUCCUCGUAGACUCAAUGACCUUCCAGUCAUUGUACUUCCAAGCACACAACCACACUUUUCAUCUCCUUUAUUACAAAACCACUCUCAAAAACUAUAUUGUGAAAACCAUGUCCACAUUAGUCAUAGAAAUCAUAACCUGCUUCUUUUGUAGUUCAAUUAUUUGAAUACAAAUAAUUUCACUUUGCAAUCCCCUUUUUUCUGUCUGUGUCUACAAGCUCCUUGUCAUUCACAUAAAAGACACCCGCAAUUCUAUAUCAAAUCAAUCUCACGAGGUAAAAUCUACUUCGCUCAAAUCUAAAAGCUGUGAUAUCAGAAGGAAUGCUCAAACAAGAAAGAAAACAAAAACCUUGUGUUUCAUAAAAACUGGGGCCCAAACAGAAAACUUGAGAACAAAUUAGUUCCCAAGACUGAACUCGGUGCUUAAAUUUCACUCUACUAACAAGUAUAUAGUCUCAAAUCCUAAAAUAGCUCCUGACUAUCGAAAUGCAAUCAAAUCUCUUUACAAAAUCAAGCAAGCAAACUCGAUUAUUAUUCACAUUAAACAGAAAACUCCAUAUGCAAACCAGUGAACCACAUUUCAUUUGCUUCAAAAUCCGGUCUCCAUCUAUAAAACCAAUCGUAAAAAUACCAGCAAAAAAUCAUUCCAUACUCCGAGCAAAAACGUUAACGACAAAACCACCUCGAAACCGCAUUUUUAUUUCUAUGAAAAUCCAAUGUCUUACAAAAACUCCAAUCAAAGAAAUUCCAGUCAAACUGAUUCCUGAAUUGAAUCACAAUCUCGAACUCUACAAGCAACACUUCAAAUCCACCAGAACCCAAGUACAUUCACUUGUUUAAAUCAAACACCCAACUAAAAAAAACACGCAUAAAGAAGGAAAGCAGGAUAUCUAUCAAUCAAAUAACACACCCCAAAAAUCCAGAGAUGGGUUUGCCUCUGACAACGCGCUUCGAAAUCCCCAAAUUUCAGAUUUGAAUACUAGUAUAGCUCUGAAUUGGGUUCGUAAACAUUCAUUUUCCGUUCAAACUCUACAGUGAGCGUUGUCCGUCUUUGGAAUGCCAAUGUUUUCUGUUCGAUACAAUGCAAAAAGAACAAAUGAAAGUGUGGCACUUGAAAGUUCAGGUUGAGGAUGAACUUGUCAGUUGAGAGACAUGUAAUUUUUGCAUUUCCUUUUUUGCAGAACUACGAUUUAUUCGGAGUAUCUUCCUUAUUAACGAUUCUAUCUUUACAUUUUAAAAUAAAAAUGUGAAAUGCAUGCCAGUAUUUUAAUAUUUUUAUUUAUUAUAUAUUUUAAUUUUAAUCAUAUUUUACUAAAUAUUUAAAUUUUAAAAAAUAUUAUUUUAAAUAUUUAAUUUUUUAAAAAAUACUUUUCAAUAUUUAAAUUUUUUAAAAAAUUAUUUUUAAAUAUAAAUUUAAAAUCAUAAAUUCAGUCAAAAAAAAGUGCACAUAGAUAUUUUUGUUCUAAAAACGCAUUCCUUUGUCACACGAAUUCACAAUCACGAGUUUAUGGAAGAUAGAAUGAUUAGAAAUUAUAAUUUAAACAACUUAAAUAAAUUUGAGUUGCGAGAAAAUAAGGUUUCGGUAUUUAGAAAUUCUGUAAUUGAUGUAUUUUUUUGACAAAUUUAAAUUUUUACAGGAAAAAAAAAUCACCAAUUGUUGAUAAAGCAACCAAAGAAGAAGGAGAAAAAAACAUACAACCGUCAUUACUUUUUAUCCAUUUAUGAAAUUUUAACUUUUCUCAUUAUUUUCAAAGUUUAAAUUAGUUAAAGAAACUCAAAAUUACCUUAAUUCGCGAAGGAUAGAAAGAAAAAGAGAAUUAAAUUUGCGUAAAUAAGAAUUUUAUGCAAUGUUGAGAAUGCUUUUUGCGGCAAUGGUAGCAUACAACUAAGCUAUUUCUCUCCUCUCUGGUAUGGAACAAAGAGAAUUUUUCUUUUUUUUCUUUUGAGAAGUUCUGGAUUGUGAAUUGUCCUCUCUCCUCUAAAUAGGACGUAAAUAUUAACUUUUUGGUAUUUUAUUGAGUAUUUGCCUAUGGAGUUUAAUUGAAGGUCUUGAUUUUUUGUUGUGAUUUAUUUGUCUUAUUUUUUUCUAUUAAUUUAUGUAGUGUUUUUAUAAGUUUAAGACAACCAAUUUUGUGCUACAUUUGAGUUCAUGUCCGACAAAGAUUGGUCCAGAGAUGGUAAGAGUUAAAGCGUAAAUGAAUUGCCUGAAACCAAGCUUGUAGGAAGUUUUUCUGAAAGGACACUCUAGAGGAAAAUAAAUAGUUUAGAUGGAAGGCUAAGCUUCCAAGUUUCCCUGCGGAAUGAUUCUAGAUACUGUUAAGAACUUGGUUCAGCAGCUGCAAGGUUUGCUUGUUUAGAAGCUUUCCUAAGGCGUCUAGCAAUGAAAUAUACUGAUUUAACAGUGCAUCUUCCAUGUCUUUCAUGGUAUUAAACUAACCUAUCGUCUUGCCUCCAAAUACUAACAAGGAGAGAUAAAAUAAAAUCUGUAUUUUUCUCCAUAAAAUUAUUUUUUAUUCAAAUGGUGUCUCAACGACGAAACAAUUCCAGUGGUAACAACAAUUGAAUAUUCAUCAGGCAUUUUCUAACUACUGGCUGAUUUUGGUGUAGUUUCGAAUCUAAAACACAAGUUUGAUAUGCUUUUAGUUUGAAAAAUAUUACUUUCCAAAGGUAGUUAUUGUUUGAUACAACUAACAAAAAUUGGACAAAAAUUUGGAAUAUUUAUUUUUCUUUUAUGAAAAUGGGAAAGGAAAAAGAGCAUUGGAUUGUAAAAAUAAGAAAUUUGAAAAGUGACUAUUGAUUCUAAAGCAGUGGGUUUUGUGCAAAAUGGGUUGCAUUUGCUGUAAACCCUCUGUAAUUGAGGAUAGCAAAGACAACCCAAGAGAACGGCUCACUAGCAAGGUCUCAUCAGACUUGCGGGCAUCCAAGGCCACCUCUUUUAGGAGAGAGGAAGCAUAUGGAGAAAAAGAUCGAUAUGAUGAUGGAAGGGCAAUGUUGAUUGAUAAGCAGUCAAAUGUUUCAGUUAGAUUGCAUGGAGGUGAAUACGUUGAUAGGAAGAGGAAGAAGAUGGAAAAUGCUGUUGCUCAACAUCCAGGGAUGGGUAGUAUACCAAAAGCGACUGAAGGGGAGCAGGUCGCAGCAGGAUGGCCUUCCUGCUGGCUGCAGUGGCUGGAGAAGCAAUCAAGGGAUGGCUGCCACGGCGUGCAGAUUCUUUUGAGAAGCUGGAUAAAGUAAGCUUUUUCGUUUGAUCUUGCAUGUUAAGUUCUUUUUAACUGUAUAUCAUAUUAUAAUAUACCAAUGAUUGACCUUUUAUUUGUGUUAAUUGACGUAGUUGAAGUUAGUUCAGAUUAGAGUUUUAUUUUGAAUAAAUGCUGCUCUAUUGUAAUCCAAAUUCAUGUGUUAAUUCAAAAACUGAAAGGUUAAAGAACAUGCCUCUUGGAGCUCUUUGAGAGAAAAUCACAAUUGCAAGUGAGAACGAGAACCUUUUUACUAUAAUAAGUGCGUCCUAGGACAUGUCCCUUAUUGGUGCGGCCACAACUGGCUAUGUUGGAUGGGUAUGGUGGCAAAUUUUUGAUAAAGAUAGGUUGAGAAAAAGUAUUGAAGUAAAGCUUAUUGCCAUCCAGUGGCUUUAAGCUUGUAGAUUUUUUUCCCUUCUUGAUACACCAGCUGGUGGAAAGGUACAAAAGUAAAAGCAAUAAUAUUUUAAACUUUUACUGAUCCAAUGUGUAAUUGUAACAUGCUUACAGGUGGACUUUCUAAAGUUGGAGACUCUUGUGUUCGUAGUAGAGUUUUGGUUGACCAUUGAAUGACUUUCAAUGUUUAAAUAAUUUACAAUACAGAAGCAUGGGGGAUCCCCCUGUUAUGCAAUUAGCAAGAAGUAAUUAGUGAUACUCACCCAGAUGCUUAAAGGUUUAAAAUGUGCUGAUGAGUAGUGUAUCUUGUUUCUCAAAGAUAUUUACAUAGUAAGGUUGAAGGUCAAUCUGCACAUUGGGGGAGGGGGGGUUAUAAGUUUUGACCUGUGAACUCAACAUGAAUGAGCUUUUUCAUGCUUUCCUUGACUAGCUUAAAGACAUGGCAAUAACAGUGUUCUGCCACAGGGGGUUGAUCUGCUAAUCUGAUUUAACAUGUUUUAUUCUUCGUGCCAUGUUGAAUGCUUUCUCCUUUUUCCCUUAUCUACUGUUUUCUUCACAUUAAAUUACCUGGUGUUUUUUUCUUGUUCUUAAUUUGCUGAUACUUAUUUUAAUGCAGAUUGGCCAGGGAACUUACAGUAAUGUUUAUAGAGCUCGUGACCUUGAUAAAAAGAAGAUUGUUGCAUUAAAGAAAGUAAGGUUUGAUAAUCUGGAACCUGAGAGUGUUCGGUUUAUGGCCCGGGAAAUUCACAUAUUGCGGAGGCUUGACCAUCCUAAUGUGGUAAAACUUGAGGGCCUAGUUACAUCCAGAAUGUCUUGCAGUUUGUACCUUGCAUUUGAGUACAUGAAGCAUGAUUUGGCUGGGCUUGCCUCACUUCCUGGUCUGAAGUUUACAGAGCCACAGGUACUGACAAAGCUUUUUCAUAGGGAAUUAUGUCUGUCAUAUGCUUGUUUGCAUUUCCUCCCAGCAAUAAGGUCUGACUUAACUAUUUGUUGGUAGGUGAAAUGUUACAUGCAGCAACUUUUACAGGGACUUGAUCACUGCCACAGCCACGGUGUUCUACAUCGUUAUAUAAAAGGUUCCAACUUAUUAAUCGACAACAUUGGUAUCUUAAAAAUUGCAGACUUUGGUCUAGCAAGUUUUUAUGAUCCAACUCGUGUUCAACCACUCACAAGUUGUGUCCACUUACUAUGGAAUUGCUGUUGAUUUAUGGAGUGCAGGUUGCAUACUUGCUGAAUUGUAUGCUGGCAAGCCUAUUAUGCCAGGAAGAACUGAGGUAUUAUCUUCUAUUUCUUGUUUUCUUCUUUUCCAUAAAUUAUUGUCUUUUGGGGUUCUCCACCUCAGUGCCCUUCCAUUUACCCACUUAUUAUUUCUCAAGACAUUAUGCUAUAGUGCAAAUAAUUAUGUGGUCAAAAUUUACUUAAAGAAGCUAAUAUACUUGAGAAUGGAAAAAAUGAGAGGAGUUUGUCUAGGCAAUUUUCAGCCUUUAGCAUUUUUUGUUGAAAAAGAGCAAACAAAAGCAAAACUAGAAAUUAGAUGAUUAUCUUAUGAUGCAUGUUUUGUUUGUGCUUUUCUAUGUUUAGCACGUCUCAGUUUUUUAUGUCAUAAUGUUUUGGUUUGUCUCCAUCUUGUAGGUGGAGGAACUGCAUAAAAUUUUCAAGCUGUGUGGCUCUCCUUCUGAAGACUACUGGAGAAAAUCAAAACUGCCUCAUGCGACUAUCUUUAAAUCUCAACAACCUUAUAAACGCUGUGUUGCAGAAACAUUUAAGGAAUUCCCUGCAUCAGCUUUGGCACUUAUGGAGACCCUACUUUCUAUUGACCCUGUAGAUCGUGGAACUGCAGCUUCUGCUCUGAACAGUGAGGUAUGAAAUAUAAUUGGAAAUAUUUUAGAAUUUCUCCAAUUAAUGGAAACUUCAUUCCAACUUUUUAUGGGGUAUCUUUGCCUGGUGCAUCCUCUAGGCUAUAGAGGGUAGGAGCAGCAGUUUAUUGGAUCUUCCUAUGCUGCAUCAAGCAGUUAAUUGAAUAUUGUAUGGACUCAGCAGCUAUUUUCAUUCAGACUCCCGUUUUCCAGUUCACCUUUUAUCUUUGCACUAUAGGCAUUGCAUUCCNNNNNNNNNNUUUUUUUGAAGAACAAUUGGAAUAAGAUGUGAUGACUACAUAACUAUCUAAAUCCCAUUAUUUUCUCUUCCUUUUUCGCUCUCUUUAAUGUUUAUGUUCGUCAUCAUGAUUGCCAUUUGCAAGUACAGCUGAACCUUUUCAUUUCUUCCAUUUGCAUUUGAAAACAUAUCCAAAGUUGAGAGAUUGCAAGUGAAAAUUAGUCUAGAAAAUUGGGGCCAAUAUGGAUUUAUGCAGUUUCAUAUUGGUUAGUGAUAACCGCUGGAUUUCACUACCUCGGUCUAAGGUCAGGCCCAAGAUGACGGCCCAUGAUGUGAAGGUUUCUAAGUCUCCCGCAUGAGCCAGGUCCAGCCCGCUCAGCUUUAGGACCGAGCUCCACUUAGAUUUCUCAAUCAGGUCGGCCCAGCCUUUUCGGCCCAAUGAUCAGACCCCUCUAGGCUCAGCCUUAAUCUCAUCUUCCAGUCCAGCCCAGAAGAGGGAAUGUGGCCAGUCCAUCCGCCUGGCGGGUCCUUCUGCAUGCAUGCCAGAGGAGAAUUAAAUGGUCGUUACGCAUGGAACAGAGAUCUGAUACUCUCGUACGUUCGUAUCAGUAUGGCAGAGACGGGUAGCCCAAUGGAAGCAAGGCCAUUACACGUCACUAACAGACAGAGAAAAGGAAUAAAAGGAGAGGAACACCCUCCUCUCAAACUAAGCUUACAGAACCAUUUGUAAACCUUAUUUUCUGGAUCGCAAAUCAUCAGUUAGGAACAAUUUGUAUCAAAUCCUUUAUUCAUAUAUGUAUAUGCACAAUCAGACAUAAAUAGCUAUUGUUGAGGUUGGUAGUUGGUGGUUGGUACUUAUUGAUAAGGUUAUAUUAUUGUUGAUAGACCUCGACUUCUUUGGCAUAUGGUACAGUUCUUUACAACAGAACCUCUUCCUUGUAAUCCUUCAAGCCUGCCCAAGUAUCCUCCCAGAAAUGAGUUUGAUGCAAAGCUACGGGAUGAGGAAGCCAGAAGGUAAUGACUGUAAAAAAAUCAAAAUGUUGUAUAUCUGAAUGGAGUAAAUGUUUAUUUAAUCAGCAGUUGCUGACCUGCAAUUUCUGACAUCAUAAAUUCCUACUUUGUACUUUAAAGGAAAUUUGUAUUUGCAAAUUUUGGCCAUUGUGGUUCUCGGCGUUUUCAAAAUGUAGAAGCGGCCUCCAUUGAAACUAGGAUGGUCCUCCUUUAAUAUCUGAUUUUAGGGCUGUGAUUGAUGUUAUUUUGAGAUAGAAUUAGGCUGCAUUGGUCUGACGCGCUGCCUUGUUGGUUUGUAUUCAUUAUGAGUUUGCUUGAUGAGCUAGUGAUCUGUUUUCCUGUGCAUCCACCACUUCUAAAGUCAUGACCAGUUAGGACAGUGUUGCUGAUGUUCUUGCUUUCGUCUUCAUUAACAAACAAGAAGCAACUCGACCCAAGGUCCAGCGACCUGGUAUUGAAAGAAGAGGAACAAGAGAAUCCAGAGCAAUCCCAGCACCCAAUACCAAUGCUGAGUUAGUCUUAUUGAAAAUUUUGAGAGAAAUUUUUUAUUUUAUUUCAAUUGGAUUGAUCUUUAUGCACAAAAAAUCAACCUAAAUUAAGAAUAUUUACAAUAAGAAUAAAAUUCCUUAAAUCAAGCCUAAUUAGGAUUUCAAAAAUUUAUGUGGUCAACACUCCCCUUUAAGUUGGUCUAUAGAUAUCAUACGUGCCCAACUUGCAAACCAAGGAAUGAUAAGUUUUGUUUCUGAGCUUUUUGAUAAACACAUCAGCUAGCUAUUCAUCGAAAGUCACAUAAUCUAAUCUCAAGACACCAUUUAUUAACUUCUUUUUAAUAAAGUAUUGAUCUAUCUCUAUGUGUUUUGUUCGGUUAUGUUGAACUGGAUUGUGAACUAUACUCAUGGCAGUAUUAUUGUCACGGUACAAGAGGAGUUUGACCCUCUCCAGUAGUUUCAAUUCCCCCAACAAUCUCUGCAACCAUAGGAAUUUACAAACACCUUAUGUUAUUGCUCUAUAUUUUACCUCGGCACUUUAUCGAGUAACAAUACUUUACUUUUUGUUUAUUCAAGUAACAAUAUUUCCUCCCACAAGUGUACAGUAUUCACUAGUCGACCUUCUAUCAUCAAGAGAUUCAGGCCAAUUUGCAUUUGUGAAUGAAUGUGUGUGAAGAUGACCGUGUUUAGAGAAUAGGAAAUCUUUCCCAGGAACAGACUUCAAGUAUUGCAAAAUGCGAAAAACAGAUUGCAUAUGAGACUCACGAGAAUCAUGCAUAAAUUAACUGAAUACAUAUGCUAUGUCUGGUCGGAAAUACGACAGAUAAAUUAGUCUACCUACCAAUCUCUGAUAUUUGUCCAUAUCCACUGAUUCACCAAUCCUGCUUGUAGCUUGUGAUUGCUCUCAAUAGGAGUUUCUACUGGUUUGCAACCUAACAUACCAGUUUGUGCUAAAAGAUCCAGAAUAUAUUUUUUUCUGAGAAAUAAAGAUUCCCUUAUUUGACUUGGCAACCUCGAUUCCCAAAAAAUAUUGCAGUUUUCCUAGAUCUUUAAUUUCAAACUCCUGAACUAAAAGCUUUUUUAUUUGAGUCAUCUCUUAGUGUCAUCCUCUGUCAUUACUAUGUCAUCAAUAUAGACUAUAAAAAGAGUAAUUUUACCCUUGUGAUGUCUAAUAAAUAGGGUAUAGUCAGCAUUGCUUUGUUGAUAGUUAAAGAAAAUCAUAGCUCUACUGAAUCGAUCAAACUAGAAUCUGGGUGACUGUUUUAACCCAUGCAAAGCCUCUUUUAGCCUGCACAUCUUUUCUUGUGUUUUUUCAUCAGCAAAUCUAAGAGGGAUUUCCAUAUAAACUUUCUCCUCCCAGUCUCCAUAGAGAAAUGCAUUUUCACAUUAAAUUGUUGUAAAUCCCAAUCAAGGUUGACAACGCAAGAUAACAAUAUUCUGAUUGAGUUCAUUUUGGCAACUUGUAACAGCCCGGACGUGAUCCCCGGCACUGUUACCGCUCACGGCCCAGGGCUAUCCCUCGCCUGGCCUCUUGCCACCUCGGGCUUUCCACUGGCGUCGUGAGCAGCUCUUAACAUCCCUUCACCCUCACGGGUUCCAGGCAGGAUUUGUCCCUCGGGGGAGCCAUGACGGCCCGCCCUAGCCCGAGUGGAUUUGGCCCAAUUCCUUCCUCUGGGAAUUAGGNNNNNNNNNNNNNNNNNNNNNNNNNNNNNNNNNNNNNNNNNNNNNNNNNNNNNNNNNNNNNNNNNNNNNNNNNNNNNNNNNNNNNNNNNNNNNNNNNNNNNNNNNNNNNNNNNNNNNNNNNNNNNNNNNNNNNNNNNNNNNNNNNNNNNNNNNNNNNNNNNNNNNNNNNNNNNNNNNNNNNNNNNNNNNNNNNNNNNNNNNNNNNNNNNNNNNNNNNNNNNNNNNNNNNNNNNNNNNNNNNNNNNNNNNNNNNNNNNNNNNNNNNNNNNNNNNNNNNNNNNNNNNNNNNNNNNNNNNNNNNNNNNNNNNNNNNNNNNNNNNNNNNNNNNNNNNNNNNNNNNNNNNNNNNNNNNNNNNNNNNNNNNNNNNNNNNNNNNNNNNNNNNNNNNNNNNNNNNNNNNNNNNNNNNNNNNNNNNNNNNNNNNNNNNNNNNNNNNNNNNNNNNNNNNNNNNNNNNNNNNNNNNNNNNNNNNNNNNNNNNNNNNNNNNNNNNNNNNNNNNNNNNNNNNNNNNNNNNNNNNNNNNNNNNNNNNNNNNNNNNNNNNNNNNNNNNNNNNNNNNNNNNNNNNNNNNNNNNNNNNNNNNNNNNNNNNNNNNNNNNNNNNNNNNNNNNNNNNNNNNNNNNNNNNNNNNNNNNNNNNNNNNNNNNNNNNNNNNNNNNNNNNNNNNNNNNNNNNNNNNNNNNNNNNNNNNNNNNNNNNNNNNNNNNNNNNNNNNNNNNNNNNNNNNNNNNNNNNNNNNNNNNNNNNNNNNNNNNNNNNNNNNNNNNNNNNNNNNNNNNNNNNNNNNNNNNNNNNNNNNNNNNNNNNNNNNNNNNNNNNNNNNNNNNNNNNNNNNNNNNNNNNNNNNNNNNNNNNNNNNNNNNNNNNNNNNNNNNNNNNNNNNNNNNNNNNNNNNNNNNNNNNNNNNNNNNNNNNNNNNNNNNNNNNNNNNNNNNNNNNNNNNNNNNNNNNNNNNNNNNNNNNNNNNNNNNNNNNNNNNNNNNNNNNNNNNNNNNNNNNNNNNNNNNNNNNNNNNNNNNNNNNNNNNNNNNNNNNNNNNNNNNNNNNNNNNNNNNNNNNNNNNNNNNNNNNNNNNNNNNNNNNNNNNNNNNNNNNNNNNNNNNNNNNNNNNNNNNNNNNNNNNNNNNNNNNNNNNNNNNNNNNNNNNNNNNNNNNNNNNNNNNNNNNNNNNNNNNNNNNNNNNNNNNNNNNNNNNNNNNNNNNNNNNNNNNNNNNNNNNNNNNNNNNNNNNNNNNNNNNNNNNNNNNNNNNNNNNNNNNNNNNNNNNNNNNNNNNNNNNNNNNNNNNNNNNNNNNNNNNNNNNNNNNNNNNNNNNNNNNNNNNNNNNNNNNNNNNNNNNNNNNNNNNNNNNNNNNNNNNNNNNNNNNNNNNNNNNNNNNNNNNNNNNNNNNNNNNNNNNNNNNNNNNNNNNNNNNNNNNNNNNNNNNNNNNNNNNNNNNNNNNNNNNNNNNNNNNNNNNNNNNNNNNNNNNNNNNNNNNNNNNNNNNNNNNNNNNNNNNNNNNNNNNNNNNNNNNNNNNNNNNNNNNNNNNNNNNNNNNNNNNNNNNNNNNNNNNNNNNNNNNNNNNNNNNNNNNNNNNNNNNNNNNNNNNNNNNNNNNNNNNNNNNNNNNNNNNNNNNNNNNNNNNNNNNNNNNNNNNNNNNNNNNNNNNNNNNNNNNNNNNNNNNNNNNNNNNNNNNNNNNNNNNNNNNNNNNNNNNNNNNNNNNNNNNNNNNNNNNNNNNNNNNNNNNNNNNNNNNNNNNNNNNNNNNNNNNNNNNNNNNNNNNNNNNNNNNNNNNNNNNNNNNNNNNNNNNNNNNNNNNNNNNNNNNNNNNNNNNNNNNNNNNNNNNNNNNNNNNNNNNNNNNNNNNNNNNNNNNNNNNNNNNNNNNNNNNNNNNNNNNNNNNNNNNNNNNNNNNNNNNNNNNNNNNNNNNNNNNNNNNNNNNNNNNNNNNNNNNNNNNNNNNNNNNNNNNNNNNNNNNNNNNNNNNNNNNNNNNNNNNNNNNNNNNNNNNNNNNNNNNNNNNNNNNNNNNNNNNNNNNNNNNNNNNNNNNNNNNNNNNNNNNNNNNNNNNNNNNNNNNNNNNNNNNNNNNNNNNNNNNNNNNNNNNNNNNNNNNNNNNNNNNNNNNNNNNNNNNNNNNNNNNNNNNNNNNNNNNNNNNNNNNNNNNNNNNNNNNNNNNNNNNNNNNNNNNNNNNNNNNNNNNNNNNNNNNNNNNNNNNNNNNNNNNNNNNNNNNNNNNNNNNNNNNNNNNNNNNNNNNNNNNNNNNNNNNNNNNNNNNNNNNNNNNNNNNNNNNNNNNNNNNNNNNNNNNNNNNNNNNNNNNNNNNNNNNNNNNNNNNAUUUAGUUUUAACUCAUCAAAUCAAACCCCCCUCUUUUAAUUACUUGUUAUUUACUUGACCUAGUCAUUAUUAGGAAAAUCAUUAGUGUCAAUUCCCUGUGGUUCGACCCUAUUGCCACUAUCUACAAGUUUAUUGUUGAUUGUUUAAUAGGUUUAUUUUUGACGGCUUCGACAACCGCCUAUCAGCAACAGGAGCAAAUGUCUCCUAGUAAUCCACUCCAUAGGUUUGAGUGUAUCCCUUAGUCACUAGUCUAGCCUUUAAUCUUUCAAUUGAUCUAUCUACUUUGUGUUUCAUAGUGAACACCCAUUUGCAGCCAACAAGUUUCUUCUCAGAUUGGAAAGUAAUAAGCUCCCAGAUCUCAUUUUUUGCCAGUGCUUUCUCUCUUCAAUCGUUACUUCCUUCCAUUUAGAAUAUGUAAGAGUUACCUUUCAAUCCUGUGUAAUAGACACAGAGGAAAUAGACAAAGCAAAUACUAUAGAAUUGAGACAAAGACUCAUAGGAGAGAAAGUUAGAAAUAUAGUGUUUUGUGUAAAAUCUAACUUUUUUGUUGAGUAAUUGGUUUAUUUAGAUCAUCAAGGUGCUCAAAGUUUAGGGAUAACUCACCAAAUGGAAAAGAAAGAUUCAUGAUACUAAGUAGGCUGCACAAUGACUUUUUUUAUUUUCUUUUGUCUCUUCUUGAGCAUCUUCUUAAAUCUGAUUUAUCUAAAUGACCAAUUUAGUCACCGAUAGUCUCUUUUUUUCAUCUAGAUAGAAUAAUACCAAAAAGGUAGAUAUAGGGUUUUAGUAAAAAUUGAAUUUAAACUCUAAAAAUUAGGAAAAGAACUCUAAUAUCAUAAAGAAUUUUGAAAAAAAAUUUUUUUUUUAUUCCAAUUGAAUUAAUCUUAAAUUAGAAAAAUUUACAAUAAGAAUAAAAUCCUUAAAUCAAGCCUAAUUGGGAUCCCAAAUAUUUGAAUCUUCUAAUUAGAAACUUUAUAUAUUGGUCAACACAUAUCAAUGCAGGUAAAUCUUCAUAUUCCUAGUAUAUAGAUAUACACAAGGGUUUGUGAUUAUUUGGUUGUGAUGUUGGCUUGUUGGAUUUCAUUAUUCUAGUACAUGGCAGAGCUCACAAAUCUGAUGAGAGGGAAUCUAAAAGGAUCCUGGGAGGAGGGGGGAGGGGGUUUGGGGAUUUAAAAUUACAAGAACAAAAGAAGAAAAGACUCUGUUUGGGGAAGAAAAUAGUUCAUUGUAAGUUAUUCGAAAAAUAAGUUGGUGGUGGUAGCACUUGGGUAUUUUCUCUGCAUUGGUGCCCAGAGAAAAUGGGGCGGAGGGAGAAGUUCAAGGUCUGUAAUUCCUGUGUUUUAUUGGAGAUGAAGUCUAUGCAAUGUCUAACAUAGUAUAAUGCUUACACCUUUCUCCAUUUAUCUUCUUCUUUUUUUUUAGUUCAAUUUGAUGUAUUGCUUGAAUUAAGUUGUCAUAUUAAUGAGAUUGCUUUCUUCUCACAGAAAAGACAAGGUCAGUCAAAUUCUAAGAGCCGGAGUGAGCAAUUUAAUCCUCAUCCAGAAGAAAUAGCUUCUGGUUUUCCAAUAGAUCCACCUAGACCAUCACAAGCUGCAGAAUUGAGUAUCAAUCUGAAGGAACAUCAGCAUCAGAGAGCCUCGCACUCUGGGCCAUUGGUCCACCCUGCUUCUUUGGCAAAUGCUAGUAGAAACCUUGAUGAUGCUUCAGAAGUUUCUACUGGGGCCGAAUUGUCAAAUUUGUCAGGCUCAGUGGCAGCAAGAAGAAAUUUAUUAUCUGAAUACUGCAGAGAAAGGUCUGGCUCAUCGCAGCCAGAAGCUCCAAAACUAAUGGCGAGGUUUCGAUGAUCCUUAAAGGAAUAAUCCCUUUUCAAGGAUCAAAAGCAACAGUCAUAGGGCAUUGCAGGUUCUCAUAAAAAAGACGAUGGAAGAAUUAGCAAUGAUGAUCCAGCCCUUGGAAGUAUAGGAUCUCUCUCUGUGUCAUCUGUGGAAUUUCUCAUCCAAAAAUUAAAAACUUGGGACAGUUCUCUAACUGUCAAAUUUCUGUGUUAUUUUGCAACUUCUUCGUACAUAUUGUCUUCAUUUAAGCAACACAUUCAGAACAUCUAACUUUUGGAACUUCAGAUGGUUUAUUGACAUGUUCUCUCUGUUUUCCAAGUGAAUGCUUAACGACUAUUCUUUUCAUGCUUUUUGAUUGUCGACUGAUCUCUUGUUUUUGUUAUUCACUUGUAUAUUUCUUAGGUUGUCUAUGGGUAAAAAGGUCGCAAAGUUCACUAUUUUGGUGUUCACUAUUUUUGUGUUCCUCAUUUGUAUUUACUUUUCGUUCUGCCACUGUAAUUUGUCCAUUAUAUGUUGAAUUCCACAUCGGUUGUGGAAAGGGGUAAUGUGCCCCUUAUAUGAGUUAUAGGCAAUAAUCCUCCUCCUUGAGCUAGCUUUUGGGGUGAAUUAGGUCUGGCCCAAAUUUAACUUGAUAUCAGAGUCUCCCCAUCCGAUGUUGGACCUCCCAUAAAUAUGUCACGCACCAGUAAAAUUCUGGGCGUGAGGGGUGUGUUGAAUCUCACAUCGGUUGUGGAAAUUAACUUUAUGAGCUAUCCUUGUAGAGCAUUUUUUACUAGUCAUAAACUGUAGAGUAUCCGGAAAACAUGACAUUGUUUUUGGUUGUUAAAACCAUGCUUAAUUGCAGAGUAGAUUUUGAAGCUCUUGGAAAAGUGGGGUUUCUUCUCUAAUGUUGAAGUAAAUGAUACUCUUCUCUUCAUUCAAAAUUUAUUUGCAGCUGACUUGCAGACGGAUCAUUGAAUUAAUUACCUGAAUGAUGAUUAAAGACUGGCCCUCCCUUCAGCGUCUUUCUACUGAUUUAGUUUUUAUUACUUUUAAUUUUUCAUUCAAUUAAUGAAUGCCACGUCUUCUUCUUCUUUUCUUUUCUUUUUUUUCUAAAUAAGUGGGUCAAAUUUUAAUUGAAAGGAUUCCUAACAUUAGAUUUAAUUGUAAUUUGAAAAUUGACUAAAGAUUGAGAUAAAUUUUACAAUAAAAUAUUAAUGUCAUACUAAAAUAUUAAUUUAUUAAUAAUAAAAUAUAGAUUCUAAAAUUUUUAAAUAUUAUUUUUAAUAAAAAUAAUAUUAAAAAUGAAAACAAUACUAAUACUAAAAAUGAUAUUAUUUUUUAAUAUGAUAAAAUCUAAUUGACAGUUAUAAACUUAUUUAACUAAAAAAAUUAAAAUAAACUUAUUUAUGAACAUAGGGUCUACGGUCUAGCCCUCUUGAUUUCAAGUACUUAUUACAUAGGGUCUACGGUCUAGCCCUCUUGAUUUCAAAUUUUCACUAUAAAGUUAGUUUUGACAAAAAGAAAAUCUAAGCCCGAAAAUUAAGGGUCUUUUUUUAUAAUUUAGAGAGGUAUUUAAAAAAAAUAAAUAUUGAUGAUAAUUUAUAUUUAUAUUUAAUUUAAAUUUUAAAUAAAAAAUUCGAAUUUUUAUAAUUAUAAAAAAAUUAAAUUAAAUUUAUAUAAAUUAAUAAUAAAUUAUAAUAUAAUAUUUAAAGUUUUAUAUCAUUAAUAAAUAUAUAAUCUUUUAAUUUUAAUUUUAUAUUAAAAUUAAAUAUAUUUUAUAUUUAUUUAUACAAUAUUAAAUAUAUAUUAUAUUACAUAAACAUUUAUUAAAAAUAAAUUUUUAUUACAUAAAAUAUCACAUAUUAAUAAUAAAUAUUAAAGUAUUUCACUUAAUAUUUAUAUUCCAUAUUAUAAAUUUUAUAUAUUUUUAUUUUUUAUAUUUAAAAUUUUUAUUAAUAUUUUCAAUAAAAUUAUAAAAAUAUGAAUAAAAAUAAAUAAUAAAAUUAAUAAAAAAUAAUAUUAUUAUAAUAAAAAUAUAUAUUUAAAAAUUAUUUUAUUAUUCAAAUAAAAUUUUAAGAACUAUAUAUAAUUUACUAUUAAUUUAUAUAAAUUUAAUUUAAUAUUUUUUACUAUAAUUAUGAUAAAUUAAAAAAUAUUUAUUUAUUUUUAUUCGAUUGCCAUAUUCUAAAUCCAAAAAAGAUAAACCCAGUGCUUUCUCCCUCGACAUAAGGAAUCAAAUCCAGCUUCUCUUCUUCCAUGACGAUAAGACCAACUUCUCUUGUUUAAGAAAAUUAUUUUCUCUCUCCUUUAGGAUUUUCUCCUCAAAUUUCAGAGAAAUAAAAAGAAAAAUAUUUCAUAAUUAAACGAAAAGUACACAGGCAAAACGAAGAAAGAAUUUUGCUUUUUACUAAUUAACUUCUUCGCAAAGCAGCGCUUUGCUGUAAAAUUUAAAUCUUAAUUUUUUAAAAUAUAUUAAUAUAUUAAAUCUCAAAUUUUUAAAAUAUAAUAAUAUAUUAUUAUAAUUAUAUAUAAUUUAAUGUUUUUUUAUAAACAUAUUGAAACAUGUUUAAUUAAAUUUAUUCUAUUUUUUAAAUACUUAGUUGAAUUUUUAAUACUAAUAUCUUAUAAUAAAAUAAGUGUUCUUUUUACAAGAGUUUCAUAAUAAUAAAUUUUAUAUUUAUACACUUUUUACAAUAUAAAAUAUAAUAAAAUUAAACUUUAUUCAAUAAUUUAAGGUAAUAUAAAAAUAAAUGAAAUUAUUUUAAUUGUUAUUAAUUAUUGUCACAUACCAAUUUUAUUAUGAUGUAAUCAAAUAAAGAGAUAAUCAUCAGAGUUCAAUUUCAUUCAUGUCUUCUCAAAAACUGAAAAAAAAAAAAAUUGAUGUGAUAACCCAGUGAUGUGUUAUCUUAACGUGUAAAGGGGAAACUUAUUGUCUUCGUAUUAGUUGUAUUUAUACCUAACCCAAUUUUACUAUUUUAAAAUUUAAUAUUUAAUAUUUUAUUAUAAUAAUAAAAUAUUUAUAAUAUUAAUUAUUAUAUAUUUAAUUAAGUAAAAUAAAAAAAAAAUUAAAUAUAAAUUAAAAAUUAAAAAAAUAAAAUUUAAAAUCUCUCAUAUUUAUUCAAAUAUAAUUAUUAUUAAAUUAAAACUAUAAUUAUAAAAAAAAAUACACGAGAGAAAUUAUGAAAUUUAUGCGAGGUAAUACUGAAUUUUUGUUUAUGGGAGAGGAGGCAAUACUCUUUACGUGUAGAUAAUUUUUUAAAAAAAAUUUAUUGGACACUUGUAUUUAUAAAAGAACACUUGUUCCAUUUGGUUUAUAAUUUGCCCCCAACUAGAGCCUUCUUUUAACUUUAAUAGACAUAAGCGUGGCAAUCUCCCAGCAGCCAAAUGCUCCCUGUCCCUUCAUUGCUCAUUGCCUGAGCCGCCUGCCCGACCCCAUUCACCUGCCGGUUACAUUGCUUCCGGCACAAAUCUAAUUAACCCAUCUCCAGUUUUAAGGAUCAAAGGCACCCACCACAAGCACACUGCAUCUCUUGUAAGAAUCAUGCUAGUUUACCAAACUUUCUUUUUUUUUUUUUAGUUUCUUUUCUUUUUCUAGACAAGUCAUUGAUUUUCUCAUUUAGGUAAUUGAGUAAUUUUUUUUUAUUAAGAUUGUGUGAUUAAAAAAUGGAGAUUCUACUCAAAAGUUCUUAAGCAUUUGUUAAUAGUUUAUUUUGUUUUGUUUCAACUUUACAGAAUCACCCCAUCAUUAGAUUAUAUUAGUUUAAUAUGUGUUGAGUGAAUAAUUUAUUCAUUUUUGCUGGCGCAGUUCCAAGGUUUUCCCAUUUUGGAAAUCCAGAUCAAUUUAAUAUUUUUAACUUCUUAGUCUUUUUCUUUUUUAAAUUUGCAAUUCAUGGCCCACUGGUCUUUCAGAGUUACCUUUUUGCCUCUGUCCGAAAACGAGCUUUGAGGCCAUGGUGGUGCCACGUUGCCCGAAUGGAACAAAGCAGGAUGAUAACGAUUAACGAGGAAGAGCUAGAGAGUGAACCUUAUGCUUCAAAAAGAAACUAAUAAUUUAUUUAAAUAUACUUGGAGAAGGGAAGAACAAAAACCCUUUUGUUGUAUUUAUUGACAGGAGGAGUGGUGUGGGACUUUUGUGGUGCCCUUUGUUUUUUUUUUCUUUCGUUUUUUUUUGCUUGGAAAAAUAAAGGGAUUUUUUGAGGCUGUCGUGUUUCUUUGUAGAAUGUAACUAAAGCCUCAGUGAUGUGUGGUUCUCUAUUCAAGUUGGUUUAGCAGGAAGAGAGACCCUUUCUUGGUGCUGCUGGUGCUCGUUCAUCUCUCUCUCUCCCUCUCUAGCCCUAGGACACAGGUGGGCUUUUUUUGGUUCUGGUGGUGGUUUAUUAUUUUUUCUUUUUUAAGAGGGCAGUAUUAAUGCGGUCUUGCGUGUGUGAUCCUGUAUUAUGAAGAGGGUAUCUUCAAUUUUCUCUUUUCUUUGGAUAUUUUUAUUGCAUUUUAAUUUGGUUGGUUGUGGUGGUGUUGCUUUUGUUUUUUUGUCGUGUAAAGAGGAUGUGAACGCAAUCAAUAUGUUAUAAUUCUGGUGGAUGAACCAGGAAAAAAUGAAUUUAAAGAAAUUAUCUGUUCAAAAUGGGUGUGUUGUUCUUUAUUUACUAGCCUAGAUUUUCUUAAGAUUACUUAGUUUUCUUCACCUUCGAUUGGUUUUUGUUGGUGGUAAGGUGUCUGUGUUGUUGUCUGAUGAAAAGCUUACGUGCUAAGAGUUCAUUUUAUUUGCUUUAAUUCCAAGCAGGGAGACGGCAUUUAUAGUUGAGAAGCCGAGUUGUUGAGCUUUGAAUUGAUGAUAGAGUUGGUUUCUUUUUGCUUGUCCAUGGAAAUGACGUUUUGAUUGAAGGUGGUCGCAGUAGAAAUGAGAGAGUUGGGUAGAAGCUGGAGAUUCCCUCCAUUUCAUGGAUGCUUUUGUUCUGGCCUUGGCGCAGCUCUAGGGGGAUAACCAUGGAUGAAUUUUCUGGGUCCGCUUGGCGGAAGUCUGAUAAUUCCAGGGGAUUAAAUUCCUCCAGAGUCUCAGAUUGUAAUCCAAGACCUGCAACUCGUGAUUCUGGGUUUAGAAAGGAGACUGAUAGGGUUGCGCUGGCGCGUCAUAACCUCAAAAGCCAGGUUGGUUUUUCUGGGGGGUACAAGGACGAAGUUACAGUUGACCCUUUUGCACGAACCAUAGAAUGGGGUGAUGUUAGCUUGAGACAGUGGCUGGACAAACCUGAAAGAGCCGUUGAUGAAUUUGAAUGUUUACAUAUAUUUAGUCAAAUAGUUGAGACUGUAAAUUUGGCACAUUCACAAGGAAUUGUUGUUCAUAAUGUGCGGCCUUCUUGCUUCGUAAUGACAUCAUUUAACCAUGUUUCUUUCAUCGAGUCUGCUUCUUGUUCAGAUUCUGGAUCGGAUUCUUUGGAAGAUGGACUCAAUACUCAAAUAUUGGAGGUUAAAAAUUCGUCUUCUUCCUUGCCUAGAGACAUGUUCCAGCAGAGAAGUAGGUUAGGAAAUGAAGAUUUUCAGUCUGCAUCUACUCCAAAGAAUGCUUUGUCAGAAGCUAGUUGCAUUCAGUCAAGUUCAGUUCAUGGCCAUGCAGCACAUACACAACUGGAUGAGGAGACUGAAGAAGAUAAAAUCAAUGAUAGAAAGCACGCUGAGCAAGAAGCGGAACAAGAAAGGAAGCAACCUUUUCCAAUGAAGCAAAUAUUGCUCAUGGAGACCGGUUGGUACAGCAGUCCUGAAGAGGUUGCUGGUUCACCAAGCACUUGUGCUUCAGACAUCUACAGAUUGGGAGUUCUUCUAUUUGAGGUCUGUAACGAAAGUGCUGCAUUUCUUACAUCAAAAAUUAAUAAAGUAAAAAACUGAAUAAAAAGGAUGUAAUUAUAUGGCCUGGAUUGAAAUUUUUGAACCGUGCUUGAUUUUCUAUCUACACUCAUAUGAUAUAGUUCUACUUCUGAACAGUUGUUCUGCCCAUUCAGCUCAAGAGAAGACAAGUGCAGUACUAUGUCUAGUCUUAGACAUCGGGUUCUCCCUCCUCAAUUGCUACUGAAAUGGCCAAAAGAAGCUUCAUUUUGCCUAUGGUUAUUGCACCCAGAGCCUAGUAGUCGGCCAAAAAUGAGGUGAACAUGCAAUUCCUUACACACACACACGCACAUAUAUAUUAUUUGCAUUUUCCCCCUUUCUGCUUUUUUAGCAGUGGCAUGUAUUUUAAUUGUGUUGUUGUAUAGGUUGGUACAAUUUCAAGUUUUUGUUCAAAUGAGUAGUCGUUAUCUCACAGAUGGUUGUGCAAGAAAUUACCAUGCCUUAUCAAUUGAAGAUGGAAACUAGAUGCCUUGAUAGACUUGUUUUAGGACUUCAAACAAACUGCUUCUCAUCUUUAUGUAGCCAUGUAAAAAUAAGGCUUUGUUGUGACUUUAUUGUGCAUGGCACUGCUAUGUCCCAAGUCUAUUCUUUCCUCUCAUGCUGAAUUUUAAUUUUCAACUUCAAUAUGUAAGUCCAUGUUAAUCCUUUUGAAACACAUAUAGUCAUUUUUUAUAUCAUAUUUAGAUAAUCAUGUACCUUUCCUAAUGUCGUCUGCAUUUUGCUGCUUCCAUUCAUUCAUCUUCAUAUUGUGAAGAAGCUUGCUUCUGAGAGAAAGGCAUUGUAGUUAAUAUUAAUUUAACGUAUAUGAAAUCAAGUUUUUAUGGUCUUAACUCUUUUGAGUUUGUUUGACAGUGAGUUGUUACAGAGUGAGUUUCUUAAUGAACCAAGAGAAAAUUUGGAAGAACGCGAAGCAGCAAUACAACUCAGAGAGAGAAUAGAGGAGCAGGAGUUGUUGCUGGAAUUCCUUUUGCUUAUACAGCAAAGAAAACAGGAAGCUGCUGAUAAGUUACAAGAUACUGUUUCUCAUAUUUCUUCUGAUAUUGAAGAAGUUAUGAAGCAUCAAACAUUUCUUAAGAAAACGGGAGGGUCUUGCCCAGAAAGAGUGAAGGAUGAUAAUUUAGUAUCAAAUCUCCCUCCAUUGAGUAUUGUUGAUAAUGAUGAGUCUUGUAGCUUGGGUUCUAGAAAACGAUUUCGACCAGGAGUUCAGAAUCUCAAUGUAGAGGAAUGUGAUGAUAAUCUAAAUGAUGGUCAGAACUCAGAUAUGCUCACAGAAACUCAAGAAAGUCUACUUUUCAAAAGUUCACGAUUGAUGAAGAACUUUAAGAAACUAGAGUCUGCGUAUUUUUUGACAAGAUGCAGGCCAGUUAGGCCAUCAGGAAAACCAUUCACAAGAUAUUCACCGAUAAGUAGUGAUGGGAGAGGUUCUAUUGUUGUCACUGAAAGAAGCUCAAUCAAUAACUUAGCACCAAAAGAGCAGCACAUUAAGAGCAGAAGUGGUGGAUGGAUAAGUCCAUUUCUUGAGGGUUUGUGCAAGUAUCUAUCAUUCAAUAAGUUAAAAGUUAAGGCUGAUUUGAAGCAAGGCGAUUUGUUAAACUCUUCAAACCUAGUGUGUGCUCUUAGCUUUGACCGUGAUGGAAAAUUUUUUGCUACAGCUGGUGUGAAUAAAAAGAUAAAAAUAUUUGAAUGUGAUACAAUUAUAAAUGAAAAUCGGGACAUCCACUAUCCUGUUGUCGAGGUGGCUAGUAGGUCAAAGCUGAGCAGUGUAUGCUGGAAUAGUUAUAUUAAAAGCCAGAUUGCUUCAAGUAACUUUGAAGGUGUGGUGCAGGUAGGUUGGUGUUUUAUUUCAUUUAUCUUUUAUCUUCAUUUUAUAUCUAUAAUCGGAUAAAGAAUAACUGGACAAUUUCAGUAUAUUUUUUCAUUGAAAUAAGUGGGUAUAUAUACAGAUUAUAAAGUCUUGUUAAGCCAACUCCUAAUAAUCCUAUUCAAUUAGCCUAUGAUUAUUGUAAUCUCCUAUAAUUAUGUAUAGAUUAUGUUUACACUCUAACACUCCCCCUCGUAUUGGAUCAUAGAAAUUUAUCACGCCCAACUUAUUAGAAAGAUAUUCUAUUCGAGGCCCAUUUAAAGUUUUGCUGACUAGAGUACCCAGUUGCUCUCCUGUCUUCACAUAACUAGUGGAGAUUAAAUUUUCUUGAAUCUUCUCACGGAUGAAAUGACAGUCAACUUCAAUAUGCUUAGUCCGCUCAUGGUAUACUGGAUUGAAAACAAUGUGAAGAACAUUCUGACUAUCACACCAAAGUUUCACGGGUGACGCAACAUCUCAUACCAACUUCCUUCAGCAGAUGAUUGAAUCUUACAAGUGGAUUGAGCCAUGGCCCUAUAUUCUGACUCAGCACUGGAUCUGGAUACCACAUUUUGCUUCUUACUUUUCCAAGACACUAGGUUUUCUCCAGCAAAUACACAGUAGCCUGUAGUCGACCUUCUAUCACUUUUGGAUCUCGCCCAGUCAGCAUCAGAAGAACACUCAAGUGUACGCCUAUGAUCUCUAUAGAGUAUAUCGAGUUUAGGAGUCCCUUUUAGAUAAUGUAGAAUUUGUUCUAGAGCGGCUCAAUAUUUCACCAUAGGUGCAAACAUGAACUGACUUAUAACGCUUACUGUAAAAAUAAUAUUUGGCCGAGUCAUCACCAUAAGGUAGUUCAGCUUUUCAACCAACCUCCUGUACCUCUUUGGAUCAUCAUAAGGGUUUCCGUCAUCUUUUGUAAGACAUAUAUUAGGAAUUAUUGGUAUGCUACAUGGUUUAGCUCUCAUCUUUUUAGUUUCUGCGAGUAAGACAAGGACAUACUUCCUUUGAGACAUAAAAAUUCCCCUUUUUACUCCUCAAGACUUUGACUCCUAAGAAAUACUUAAGCUGACCCAAGUCUUUAGUAUGAAAACUCGCAUGCAAGUAGUUUUUGAGAGAAAGAUCCUUGUACUAUCAUUCCCUAUAAUGAUAAUAUCAACAUAUACAAUACGGAGAAUAAUACCAGUAUCUGAAUUUCUAUAGAAGACUGAAUGAUCACACUUGCUUUUUUUUUUAACCCAAAUUUUUGAACAAUUUCAUUGAACUUGCCAAAUCAUGCACAGAGACUCUACUUCAAACCAUACAAAGAUUUCUUCAAAUAGCAGACUUUCCCAUACUUCCCCUGAGCAACAAACUCUGGUGGUUGCUCCAUAUACACUUCCUCUUAGAGGUUACCAUUUAAAAAUACAUUAUUUCAUAUCUAAUUGGUAUAAAGGCCAAUAUUGAGAAGCAGUUAGGGAGAUGAACAAGCGAACUGAGCUCAUUUUUGCCACAGGAGAAAAAGUGUUAGAAUAGUCAACGCCAUAGGUUUGGGCAUAACCUUUAGCGACAAGACCGGUCUUAAGCCUCACUAUGGAGCCAUCUAGAUUGACUUUGAUGGCAAAAAUCCAUUUACAGCCCACAGUCUUCUUUCCAGAGGGUAAAUCAACUAGUUCCCAAGUAUGAUUUUCAUCUAGAGCCUUGAUCUCCUCAAACAUUACAUCACCCCAUCCAGAAUGAGCGAGGGCCUCUUUAACUGUCUUAGGUAAAGAAAUAGAAUUUAGAGAAACAAUUAAGGAGGUAGAAGGAGACAGGUGAUCAUAAGACAAAAAGUUAGCAACAGAAUAUAGAGAUUUACACUGUUGUUUACCUUUACGAAGACUAAUGGGGAGGUCAAAGUCACUCGGUGAUGGAUCUAAUGGCGAAGAAGAUUCUGGUACAGGACAUGUAUCAUCAGGUACUGGUAGGGGUGAGCAUUCGGUCGGUCGGUUCGGUUCAAAACCGAACCGAACCGAAUAAACCGAAAAACCGAAAUUUUAGUGUUUAUGAAAAUCGAAUCGAACUGAACCGGUCUGAUUCGGUUCGGUUCGGUUUGAUCGGUUUCGAUUUUUAAUAAUUUUUUUAUUUUUUACACUUUAUUUUUAAUAUUUUAAAAUUUAAUUAAAAUAUUUUAAUCUUAAUAUGAUUUAAUUUCUCUAUAUUAUUAAAAAAAUAUAUUAUUAUCACUAAUCGGUUCGGUUCGGUUUUUUCGAUUUUUUUCUGAUCAAAACUAAACCGAACCGAAAUAAUCGAAAUUUUUGAAAUUAAAAACCAAACCGAACCGAAAUAUAUAAAAAACCAAACCAAAUUUUCAAAUCGGUUCGGUUCGGUCGGUUUUUUCGGUUUAAACCGAAUACUGCUCACCCCUAGGUACUGGCCUCCGAGAGCAAACUUAAACAACUGACGAUUUAACAGGAGGCUGAGUAUUAGGAGGAAUCUUACCAUCAAAUUAUAUAGCAGAAGGCAUAUUCGAAGAGGUCCCAGAUAUAAUUCUAUAGAUGAGCCACUCAUCAUCCUCCUCUUGAUUAGGAGAGGUUUGCGUAACAGGAUAAAAAGGAACGUGCUCGGGAAAGACUACCUUGUUGAGACUAGAUAUUUGUUGAGGUCUGGAGAGUAACACCGAUACCGCUUCUAAAGGCGAGAAUAUCCCAAGAAAACACACUUCAAAGCUUUAGAAUCAAGUUUAGUCACAUGAGGUUUGACAUCCCGAACAUAGCAAGUACUGCCAAACAGUCAAGGUUCGAGAGAAAAUAAUAGUUUCUUAGGAAAGAGAACAUUAUAAGGAGUAUUAUCAUUUAGUACUGCGGAAGGCAUGCGAUUAAUGAGACAGCAUCGGCUCAAAAUUGCUUAGGAACUUGCAUUUGAAACAACUGAGCUCUAGCAGUCUCAAGGAGAUGUCGAUUCUUCCUUUCAGCUACCUCAUUUUGAGCGGGUGUAUUAACACAUGACGAUUGGUGAAGAAUGCCAUAUUGAGUCAUAUAAGCCUGGAAUGAUUCUGACUUAUAUUCUUUAGCAUUGUCGCUCCGCAAAAUUUGCAAAGAAACAUUAAAUUGAGUCUUGAUUUCAGCACAUAAGGCAGAAAAAUGAGAAAACACUUCUGAAUGUUGCUUCAUAAAAUAAAUCUAAGUCAUUCUAAAGUAAUCAUCUACAAAAGUGAUAAAAUAUCUAAAUUCAGUCUUAGAUCCAAUCGAGUAUGGGCCCCAAACAUCUGAAUGAACUAAUUCAAAAGCAGACUCAGCUCGUUUAUUAAUUCUAAGACUUAAAGAGCUUUGAUGAUAUUUUGCAAAAUAACAUGACUCACAUUCCAGUAAAGAUACCUUAUGAAAUUGAGGGCAUAGCUUCUUCAAAACUGGUAAAGAAAGGUAUCCCAAUCGAUAAUGUACUUCAAAUGGAGACACGACACUGGAGCAUGCAACAGACUGAGGCACCCAUGCAUCCAAAAUGUAGAGACUCGAUACAUAUUUUUUACCAAUAAUCUGUUUCGUCACAAGAUCCUGAAUGAGACAAUAAUUAGGAAAAAAGGAAACACAACAAUUUAGGUCUUUGGUAAGUUUACUCACAAAGAACAAAUUAAAGGCAAGAUUAGGUAAACUUAGCACAGGUGAUAGGGUAAUAGAAGGAGUAGGUCUAACAGUCCUAGAACCCUCAACAUUAUAGGUUGACCCAUCAUAAUAACAGGAGAAAGAGUUUUAUGAGAUCGAAAGCUAGUAAAAAUAUGAGAAUUACCUGUCAUGUAAUCCGUGGCACAAGAAUCAAUGAGCCAUUUAUAUGAAGAGGAAAUAAGACACGUUUUAUUUGUCUCAGCUUCUACUGAAGACGUUGGGGUAAUUUUAGUAAUAUGGGUCUUACUGUCAGAAAUCAUUUCAACCAAAACCUUAUACUCCUAUACCUUCAAACGAAUUAAAGGAAGAUGACAAAAUUUAACUCAGUGAACAGUAUCAAAAAACACCUCCACUCAAUACCCAAACGGCAAACGAACUACAGAUUUGACAAGGGAGCUGCAAGGCGACUUCGGCAUCCUUCCUAAGUGGACCAUGAGAGACAAAUAUUACCCUAGAUGGGUAGCACAGAAGAACAAGAACCCUAAGUCUCUAAAAAUUUAAAACUUGACGGGAGAGAAAAAAAUUAAAUAUUUACGGGAAUAGUUCUGAACCAUGUAAUAAGAUAAGGAAUAAUUGAACAAUUUCAGUAUAUUUUUUCAUUGAAGUAAGGGGUAUAUAUACAGAUUAUAAGGCCUUGUUAAGUUAACUCCUAAUAAUCCUCUAUCAAUCAAUUAGCCUAUGAUUAUGUAAUUUCUUAUAAUUAUGUACAGAUUAUGUUCACGCUCUAACAAUAUUACUUGAUAAUGAACAAGUUGCUUAAUGUAUUCAGGUGUGGGAUGUCACAAGAAGUCAAGUACUAACAGAAAUGAGAGAACAUGAGAGACGAAUAUGGUCCAUUGACUUUUCAACAGCAGAUCCAACAAUGUUGGCCAGCGGGAGUGACGAUUGUUCUGUUAAGCUAUGGAAUAUCAAUCAGGCAAUUCUAUUUUUGCACUUGGUGGAUGUCAGCUUUGAAACUAAACGUACUAAUGUCAUCUAAUUUCUUAUUGUGUAUAUUUAAUUCUGGAUGUAUGAUAAGUUGUUCCUCUUACGUUGGUUGUUACUGCAGGGAGUAAGUAUUGGUACAAUCAGAACAAAAGCCAAUGUCUGCUCUGUUCAAUUUCCCUUGGAUUCUAGCCGUUCUCUUGCAUUUGGUUCAGCAGAUCAUAGAAUUUAUUACUAUGAUCUUCGCAACUCAAAAGUUCCUUUGUGCACAUUGGUUGGACAUAACAAAACUGUGAGUUAUGUGAGGUUUUUAGAUCCAAUGAAUCUUGUUUCUGCAUCCACGGACAACACAUUAAAGCUCUGGGAUUUGUCAAUGUGCGCAUCUCGUGUUAUUGAUACUCCCCUUCAAUCAUUCACAGGUCACAUGAACAUUAAGGUACAUCCAUUCUUCCAUUAUACAAAGUGUCCAUAACUGUGUUUUAGGACUUCCAUGAAAGCUAUUGGAUCAAAGUUGUUAUUCAUUUAAGUUUCAUUGUGAAUUUUGGUUCACUCAUCUCAGUUAAAACUAAAUCAAAGUUUGCAUAGUAUUAUGGAACAGCAAAUACAAACUCAUGUAUAAGUGCUCAUGGUUUUAAAUCGCGGUCACGGACACGUUCACAGUCGCGGCUGUGACUAACAGAAAUAAGCCUGUAAUGGCUAUAACGUAACAGUCCGGCGCUAUACAAAUUUUUCAAAACAAUUUGCGAAGUUUAUAAAUGAAAUGAAUUAAUUAAAUUUAAUUCAGAACAACGUAUACAAAUAUAUAAUAAAUAUAAAUACAUGAAAUAUAGAUUAUUUAAUUUAACUUAAACAUUAUAUAAUUUAAAAUAAGAAAAACCAACAUAAUCUUUAUAAAUCGAGUUAACUAAUAGCUCAAAGUACAAUUUUAACUCAAAACUAACACUUUAAUUGAUAAAAAAAUUUUUUAGAAAAGGAAAAAAAAUAACUAAAAAUUAAAAUACAUAAAAUUUAACUAACUUUUUAGAAGAAAGAAGCUUGGAAAUAUAGUAGUUUGUAAUGGAUCUAAACUUAUAUGAGAAAUGUGCAAGUAAGAUUGAAAUUUGAAAGAGAACACGAAGAGAAAACUUAAAAAAUAUAGUUUUUGAAGCUGCUGAAAAGUAUAGAAACUAAUGAAAAUGAGAAUAGGGAACAAAAUUUCAAUUACUGGUAACAGCCUUUACUGUUACGUAACGGUCGGUAAACGGUCGUUACCGUUGCGUAACGUUCGUAAUGGCCUUUACGCCUGCAAAUCAGGGGAGCCGUUGUAUAACGGGAUAACGAAUAACGGCCCCCAAAAACCAUUACAUAAUGGAUUUUGGACAUGUUUAAUACAAAUGUGGAUGUUUGGUUCAAAUAAAAUUGUGAGUUACUGUAUAGAAGUAUGGGGAAGCACUGCCAUGCAUAACCAAUUUUUUCUGAGAUGUUUGGCAUUUUCAGCACUUGAUCAAAGACAUGCAAUUGACUGAUCACCAUCAUUUUAAAUGUUGAAAGGCCAACUCUAUUGUGGAAUCGAAUUAUGGAGUUACUGCAUUAAAAUUUUGGUAAAAAAUACAAGGCUUACGUUGAAAAGGUUCUUUAGUUUAAGGAUCUUUUCCCCACUUGAUGAUCUCUCCUACAAUUUAAACAUCAUAUCUUUAAGAAGGUUGUAGACUUGUAUAUUUAUAGCCCAUGUGAUGUAAUUAACUUUAAGGCUGAACAAAUAAAACUGAAAACCAAUUUUGAAAAGAAAAAGUCAAACAAACCAAUUUGUUUGGUUUUCGCUUUCUUUUGUUGAAUUAUUAAGAGAGAUUGUUUUUUUUGGUUAAAGACAGAAUCUUUACCAAUCCUUUGAUCAUGGAUUUGAAUUUGAAUCUGAAACUUAUUUGUUUGAAGAAAGAUGUGACUGACCAACAUACCAAUUUUUUACAAUUUGAUAAGGCUAAUAUGGAAGUCAAUUAUUGUCAUAAAUGGUAGGAAUACUUGUGCUAUUUAGCCUGAUAUAUUAACUUUAUAUCGUAUAAAAGUGGAAAUUAGUGUGUUGAACAUACAUUUUAUUGUCCAUUUCUGUUCUACUUUUUUGCAGAACUUUGUGGGUUUGUCAAUAUCAGAUGGCUACAUUGCAACUGGCUCAGAAACAAAUGAGGUAGUUCAUAUGUCUUCUUAAUUGGAAAUAUUUAAAGGCUAUUUACAUUGCUUUUACAUUACAUACAUUGUGAAGCUAUCAGAAGUCUCGUUAUCUAUAAAGCUCUUAUAAAAUGUUUGGCUCUCAAUAUCUCCUGCUAUUUCAACUGAUAUUGGAUGACUAGAUUUUCCUCUACAUCCACCUUGUUUAUAAAUUUUUGAUGCAGCACAAGCUGCACAACAGAUUAGCUUUCACAGUAACAGUGCUAAAGUUUGGGCAAUGGUUUUGCAACUUCAGCAUCAAAAAUAGUAUUAAAACAGCCCAAAUUUCACCUCAUCAACACUAAUUGCUUUAAAUAUGCAACCUCAUUUUUGCAUUCUCAAUCAUCAUUUAUUUUCUUAAUUUGGUAUUUGAAUGUGGAAUAGGUUUUCAUCUACCAUAAGGCCUUCCCGAUGCCAGCAUUAUCAUUCAAGUUCAGCAACGCCGACCCACUUUCAGGUCAAGAAAUGGAUGAUCCUGCACAGUUUAUUUCUUCUGUCUGCUGGCGACCCCAGUCCUCUACCUUAGUUGCUGCAAAUUCUACAGGGAAUAUCAAAAUUUUGGAGAUGGUUUAAUUUGGUCUGUGCUCCUUAAACCAUUCAUUAUAUUUGCUGAAAAGAAAAAAAAGACAAUGGUGGUGUUUUGGCAGAAACGGAUGCAAAAUAGGAAACUGUGAAGCUAAGAUAGGGUAAAUAAUACAGGAACUUUGACGGUUGCCAUUACUAAAACAAUUUUUGGGAUUAGAUCAUAUAGGAUGCAAUUAAUGAACUGAGAUAUUGCUCAGGAUCUGCUGUACUGUAGAUAAAAAUUCAUGGAAACAAAAAAGAGAAAAAGAAAUUAUAAAUGAUUUCUCCUUGUAUAUCUUUGCUGUGCUUUUAGUUGUUAAUUUGUUUUGCUAUGAGCAUGUAGUGAUCUCUGAGAGAAUUAUUCUUUUUGGUGCGAUUUUUCUGUUGGAACUGUGUUUUUAAUGAAGGUAUCAUUGGACAUGGAAAUGACUUCAGCUCGUUCUUUUCUUCUUUCUGAAACACUCUUCUUCUCCAUUACAGUCAACCACUUGCGUAUUUGAUACUCCCUAGUCCCUUCGGGAGCUUCACUUCUAGAAGCAUAAUUAGGAGAAUUUUUUUUUAAACUAAAAAAAAGAGGAGAUUCCAAUUCUCAUGAUGAAAGCCAUCAGAUUAAUUUAUUUAGGGUGUAUUUAAGUUAGCUGUCAACCACCAUAUCUCAAGGAUCUUAUAUUAUAUUAGCUAUAUAAAUUUCAAUUCUUUACUCCACUAAGCUUGCAAGUUCUUUUUCCUUUUCCUUCUUUUUAAAGUUUGGUUGGCUUCAUGAUUUUAAAUCACAACCAAAUCAUACGCAAUUGUGAAAGUUUACAUGAAUGCCAUUGAAAUCAUAGCUGUGAUUCUGUUAUCAGAAGAUUUGCACAUCCAAACUGUAGAAAAAGAAAAAAGAAAAUAUUUCUAAUUAUUUAUGAUGGCCAAAAAAAUUGAAGGAAGAUACAGAAGGGGUGAAAAAUGAAAAUAGCAAUGUGGAGAAGCUUCAAGGAGAGCAAGUGCAAAUCAAUUGUUCUAAGAGAAUAGAACCUCUAAAAUGACGAAGUAAAUGUGUUAUAGCUAUACUAGAUUUCUUAUGAUUGUAAUGGCAGUACAACUCUUGACAAUCAUGCAACAAUGGCUGCAACUCCGGCAUCAAAAUCCUUUUUCUCCGACAACUUCUGAAAUCUUCUCCAACUGCAAGCAUGAAACUUUCGUGGGAAAUAUCUAUUUACAUUGAUUUUGUUUAAGCUUUGAUGUCAGAGCUAGCCUAGCUAUGAGACGUUUAAAUCUGUAAGCUCCUCGACCCGGUUUAAUAUUAUUCGGGUCUCCUACCUUGGUACAUUUGGGACUGUCAGAGCACCACCCUCCAGGAGUGAAGCUUCCUUUCUUCCGGCCAAGCAAAUCCUUAUCAAUUUUAUCCAAGAGAGGAUCGUUAUGUUUGAAUUUUCUAGCGAAUGGAGCACCACUGUCUAUCAUUUGCUUCGUGUCGUUAAGGGUAAGUAUCCGUGGAUGCUGUUGGGGGGGCAUGUCCCAAGAUAUGAAGUGCAGAUCAUGGUUGACGGCUGUCUGAGCAAACUCUGGAACAUUGCAUAUUACAGUGUGAAAAUAGCCUUCAGGUGAGGAUACGAAGUUGGUGUAAUACAUGAGCACAACUCUCGGGAGAUUAUCCCAACCCCAAAUUAUGUACUCUACAAAUGAACGUGUGAGAACCAUCCAUGCUGAACCUGCACAACAAUGGAUGUUGUUUAGUCAUGGAAAAAAGAACUGAAACACAAAAGCUGUUCUGGUUUUUAUCAAUUCUACUGCACAGCUGAUACUGAUGAAACAGUUAACUGUUGCUUAGCUGAAGUGUCUAAAGAUCAUAAUUUCGGCACCCUAUUAAAGACACAUCCCCUUCUGUUGAGGACUUGGAGAACAACAGCUUUAUUGAUGCAACUAAAGAUAUAUCAUCUAUGACUGAAUUUCAUAUUUCUCAACAAAAUCCCAAAAGCAAGAUAAGGUUGUAGGAAGCUUGAAGCUUGCAAUCGCCAAUAGAAAGAACAGAGGCGUGGACAUGAACUGUACGAAUAUCUCUAAGCAUAUAAUGAAAAGCAAGAAGAUUUCAACUGGUUUCUUUGUAACACUGUUAGUCCAAUAAUUAUAUUUGCAAAGAAUCAGAACCUCAGUGGGCAAACUUAUUAGAAAGCAUCAAAGGGGCAAAAAUGAUGAAUCAUAAAUACUAACCGGUGAAUAAUUUGAAUGCUGUUGGCAAACCUCUGCGAGGUGUGGCCGGGAAUAAAUCUGUCUUCUUUGUUGAGUAGAGACCAGGGUCGACAAUCAACGGCAUUGCGCGUUUUUCCCUAAAUGACACAGUUAGACAACUCACCAUUAAUUGAAUAUGGUUUCUCAAUUUGUAUGUGGGAGAGAGAGAGAGAGAGAGAGAGGGAGCUCACUCCUUCCAACCCAGGUGACUUGUGUGCUCAAGAAAGUUGAGAUUUCUGUUUAUGGUUGAAAAUGUAUGAAGAAGAUCUGCAGAUUCCAAGGCAAUCAUUCAAAAAUCAUGAUUCUACAGCAAAAACAGAUAGAGAGGAGGAGGAAGAAGAAGAAGAAUAUGCAUACAAGUAAAACGACAUAGACCAACCAUCUUGAGUUAUAAGAGGAUAGUCAGAAGCACUGAGAUUAAUAAACCAAUCCCAAUCUUUACUCCUCUUGAGAAGAAUGGCACAAGCAUGAAGAGUAUUAGCAACCAUGGUGGGUCCUCUAUAUGUAACCAUAUUAGCUUUGGUGACCAUGAAAACAUUCCCAACCUUGGAGAAAAGGGGAUGUUUUUCCACUCGAGUAGAAAGCUCCAAUCUUUCCUCCGCCGGAGACUCAAGGUCCAAAUGAACAACGUACUGAUUCCGCGGAUGGUAAAGUGCGUGAAGUGUUCUCCAUAGCUUUUCCAAAUCACCUUUAGACCCGGAAAUCAAGUAAGCAAAUCGUGGGAUUCCUGGAGCAGAGGGAUUUUUCUGUGAAACUUUCAUUUCUGCAUACCCCUCCAUUGAUUGGUUUCGAGAUUGAAAAAUGUUUACGAUUUGGUUGAUAGUAUGCAGUGAAGAAACAAGACCCAUGUUUAAGGAAGUUGCUAAAAGGAACACGCAUAUUAGAGAGCUUAUCACUAAAGGGAACACCCAUUUCUUCUCCAUGUUCAGGGACCCCAUAGCUAGACCUUAUCAUCGGCUCCGGCAACCGAUCGUUCACAUCCCAAAUUUGAUUAUUCCUCCACCAUCUCAACGGACACAGAUAACCCAGAUGAAAACUUUCCUGUGGAUGCUGCAACAGAUACUUUCCUCAAAAAUAAUUGCAGAAGCUGAAGUGCAGCUAAAGCUGUUGAAUCAACAACCAACAAUAAAAUAAUACAUCAAAAUGAUAAUUUCUGCUAACAAGGAAAUUGAAGAUUGCGUGAGCAUCUAGUUGGUUUAUUUGAUCUAAAUGCCGACAGAAAAGGGUAAAAUUAUAAUAUUAUAUAAAAAUCAUGGGAAAAGGGUGUGGAGAGAGAGAAAAAGAGAGAAAGAGCAUGUUUGUAUGUUAAAAAAAUAUUAAUAACUAGGGACAGAAUAUGCAUCAAGAAAAUCGAGAAACACCAAUAAAUUAAUCAAGAAAAAAACAAUUAGUUAAAUCUUCAUUAUCAAUGAGCUAUCAAGGUGUCCAAUUUCCAGAGGAAACCAUUGAAAACGACAUAAAUUACUGAUCUUUACAAUGGGAAAUGUUUCGAUCAUUCAUUGUAGAUCCCAGCAUAGGUGUCUGUUACUACCACAACAGUUUCACAUCAGAAAAAGAAGAAGAAAAAAAAGUUGAUUUCAAUGAAAACCAUACCAACCAUCAUAAGCUAAACAGAGAUCAUACAACAAGAAACAAUACCCAAAUCUAAAAAUCUAAGAUUUAAAUCGUUAAAUCAAUAGAACUAACAUGAAUGAUCUAAUCCCAGACAAACAGAGCUCAACCCAAAAGCUAAAAACAAUGGGGAAAAAAAAUAAAAGAGAAAGAAACGAACAUAAAUCAGCUUUCCCAUUAAAACAUAUGUAAAGAAAUUAAGGAGCAAGAAACAAAACCUGCAGUUUUUCUUGAAAAAACUUCAGACUAUGUGGGAGUUGAAGAAUAAAGAAAGAGAGAAGCUUUAGAGAGGAGAAAGAGAAAAGAAAGAAAGAAACCUAUAAACUUAAGAUUAAAUAAAUUAGAUGAUAUGAUACGAGAGAGAAAAAGAGAGAGAGAGAGAGAGUAUUCGAAAAAAGGACGUGUGUAGAGAGCGAAGUGGUUGAGUUUGUACAAAGAAUCUGCGUAUGUUGCUUUUUGCUGUUCGUCUUCUCUCGCCGAUGUUUAGGAGUUAUUCCGUUAUAUUGGGAGAGAUAGAGAGAAGCAGAGAGCUCCUAGGAUUUGACCCGACACGCCCAUGCCAACCAAAACUACUUUACAAACAACUGUUUCCUUAUACCAUCCAAAAAAAGUAAAUUACAUUGUUAAUUUCUAGGUUUAUUCAAAAUUAUAGCUUUAUUUUUUUAUAUUUUAAAUAAAUUAUUUAAUUUCAAUCAUUAUGAGAUAAAUAUUUAUUUAUAUAACCGAUAAAUAUUUAAAGUUAGUGUUAUUAUAGAAUGAUUAGAACAUGAUGUUUUGGUUUCUUGAUUUAAAUAUUAUAAACAUUAAUUAUUUAGUUUCUAAAAAAUUAAUUAAAAUAUUUAUUUAUUUUAUAAACUUUUAAAUAUUUUUGAAUUAAAUUAUUACAGUAAAAUAAAUGAGCAAAAUGGCAUACUGUAAUAAAUAUAGGUUAGGAGACGGACAGCUGACCCAUCCCACCAAAAUUUUUGCAUGCAUUCAAUAUUUUUAUCCCAUGCUAUUUUUAUUAACUCAUCCAGUCAAUUAAAAUAUUUAUAAUUAAUUAUAUUUCGAUCUUGAUCGAGUUAAAAAUUUUGACCAAACACUGGUGUAUCUGAUAAUUAUAAUAAAAUAUAUUUUUUAUUUAAUUAAUAAAAUUUAAAAGCUAACCAAAAUUAUUAAAAUCAUAAAAUAGAGGGUCAGUCCGGGUCAUGUCCGGCCUGACUGAUGACCCUUUAGACCAAAAUCCUAUAGGAUGAAAAUUUCGGGCUGACCAAGCCCACCUCUAAAAUCAACUGCAUCUGCAUAUAUUUAAUUAUAAAUCAAAUAGAUAAUGAAGAGAAAUUCAAAAAAUGGAAUAUCAUUCGUCAGCUCUAUAAUGGGCCCCACGGUUUUAAAUGGGCGUCACGUUUUAAACACUGAACGGUUUGUUUGUUGGCCUAUUUAAGAUUUCGUUUGAGGCGGUGCGUAGCUGAUUCUGAUCUCCCACAUUUCACAUUUCUCCGUCUGUCCCUUUGUUUUCAAAUUUUGUUCAUAAUAUUACAUUUUGUUUAGAUAGGUGGAGAAAAAAAAAGAAGAAAAAUAAAAAAUAUAACGAUUAUUAUAAAAAAUAAUUUUUUAAAAAUUAUAAUUUUAUCCUUAAAUUUUUAAAAACAACUGAUAAAAUAUAAAAAUAUUUUAAUUAUUUUAAAAAAAUCAUUCCGCUUUCUCUCCAAUUUGAGAGUAAAUAGUGAAUGAAAUAUAAAUUUUAUUUUUCUUUUCUUCUCAAUUUUCUCUUAAUUAAACAUAAAAAUAAAUAAAUAAAUUUAUUUUCCUCUAAGUAUAGAUUAUCCCUCACACACAUAUACUAUUUUUAUUAAAUAAUAUCAAAACUUUCAUCUAAGAAAGAGAAAAAAAAUUCUAUUGUUCACAUUUACUGAUUUGAUAACCGAAUAUUUCCUUCUUGUUGAUUGGAUUAUUGACUUAUCCCAAUUUGGGUGUGGAUGGGGGCUGAGCCUGCAAUGUCAAUGAGAGUCAUUGCUUAAACUUGGCGUUGCUUGGAAACAUGUGGCACCGACUGCUGUGCACUAUGCUGGUGUGAUAGUGAUAGCAUUUGACUAAAAUUAAAGCUAGCUUUCUAUAGUGGGAUGGCAAAUGCUCUAUUUGUGAGCUUUGCUGAAGGCCCAUUUCAAAAUAUGACCAAACAAGAGAGAGAGUCCACAACAAUGAGGCGGCCUAUACAUGAACCAUAGCGUCCACACUAAAACUCAAUGUAAAACAAUAUCAUAUACAAAACAAAACUUAUACUAAAAUUUUAUGGGUAGAUAAAAAUUAAUCCCAAUAUAAAUUUGAAAAAAUAAUAUGCAAACACUAUCUCCUAUUAAAAGUUAUUAACCAAACAAGUCAAAAAUACUUUAAAAACUUAUAAAAAUUUCUUUAUUAUUAAAAAAAAAUUAAUUUUAUUAAAAUCAAACCAAACUGAAACACACGGAUAAAUAAAAAAAUUUAAAUAAAGCUGCAAUUUCAAUAAAGAGCGAAAACCAUUGCAUGCAACACAACGGAACAUCAAUUUGCACUAAACAAUAGAGCGAAUAACUACUAAAAGAAAAAAUGUAUUCUGCAAUUAUCAUAAAUCACCAACGCUAGAGAUUCGAUAGAAGCUACCAAACAAACUCAGCAUCUAAGAGAAGGAGAACAAACAAAUAUCAAAUUUAAAAAUUGAUGAUCAUUAUCAAGCAUUGUCUAUCUUUAUAAACUUAAUUAAUUUGUUUUUUAAUUCUCAAUAUCCAUUAAAAAUAUUAAUUACGAAAAAUAAAAAUAUUUCAAAAAAAUAUUUUUAUUAGCUAUAAUGUUAAAAAAGUAUGAAUAAAAUUUUUAUAUAUAACAUAUAACUGUGCUUCAUGAAAACUUAGUAAAUUAAUUUUAUUUUAAAAUAAAAGUUAUUUUUAUAAAAUUAAUUUAAUAUUAAUUUAUGAAAAAAAUAUUUUUUAUUAAUCGGCGGUGUUUGAGAUCCGAUAAAAGAUAGGUUUAAAAUAUAUUUAUGUAAAAUUUAGUUUGUCCCCACUCUAUUUUUCUUUUAAUUUUUUUUAAUGACAUGUAAUUAUCAUCUUAUACUUGUAUUCUAUUAUCACACUUAUAUUGAUUGUAUAUAUGAAUUUAUUAUACGAUUAUUUAAUUUCAUUUAGCAUCAUUUAAAUAUGAUUUUGAAUAUCACAAAAUAUGUUAUUCCGUAAAAUUAAUAGAUAUUCGAAAUUAAAUUUUUCAGCUAUAGCCCUACCCUAAAUUCGAUUUAUUAAAAUAGACUUAAGAGUAGACCUAUACAUUAAACCCUAAUAAAAUUGAAGUCUAACUUUUAGAAUGCAAAUUCCACCAUUAUGGGAGAGUUUAGGAUCCGAUUGUCAUAAGGUGAAAAAUAUUUUUGUAAUUGAUAUUUUUAAAGAGGCUACGAUUGUAAUGAUUGAUGUUCAGGCAAUUUUACUAUUAUUAUUGAAAAAAAAUAUAGAUUUUAUUAAAUAUAUAUAUAAAAAAUCAUUUGAAGAAUCUAUACAGUUGAAAAAAUCAAUAAAAGGGGAAAAGACACCAAAUUAGUUAAAACAGCCGCAGGCUUUUAAUGGCAACAUCACAUAUCUAGUGGACCUGCGGCUGCGGAGGAGAUUCCCAGUUCAUACCAGACCUUGCACUUGCCAAAUGAGAUUUAGGAAAAUUACUCUAAACGAUAGGGGUAUUUAUGACUUUCAACUUAAAAGACUGAAACAAACGGCGCUCUCGUAAUCAUCGACCAAACGUGUCCGCGAUGCAAUGCUACAAAAGGAAAAUCCCCAUGGAUUCACACCAGCCACGUGUUCCCAACCCAAAUGUAUAGUGCCAUUCUAUAUUAAAUUAAAUUAAUAUUUCUUUUAUUCUGUAAUUUUUAUUUUUUAUAUAUAUUAUUUUUUUAAUUAUAUUUAUUUAAAUAUUAAAUUUUAUUAAAUAUUUAUAUAUUAUUAUAAUCUAAAAAAUUGAUAAUAAUUUUAAAAUAAUUAAAAAAAAUAAAAUUUUUGAAAUACAAAUUAAAGGUGUAUUUAUAUUUAAAUUUUUAUUAAUUAUUAAACUUAAUUUUAUUUAUUUUAAAAAAACUUAAUUUUAUAUAAAAUAUAAUUGAAAAUAAAUACACUUGCAAUUACUGCUAUCUGUAUUCUUCCAUUUGCACCUUCUGUUUGGUGCGACUGCUAAACGACCGUUUUUAAUAGAGAUUCUUUAAGAAAAAGUUAAUUUUAAGAUAUUUUAAUUUGAAAAUACUAUAAUGAAUUUAAAAUUUAAAAACCAAUUCGUGAGCCAAUCAAUUAUCCAGUUGGUUAAAUAUUUUUUUUAAACUCCGUAUAUUUUUUAAAUUUAAAAUAAUCGACGAAAAAUAUUUGUUUAAUAAAAAAAUAUUUUAAAAAAUAAUUUCUAAUCAAGAUUUAUAUAUAAAUUUACCAAUAAAUUUUAUUUUUUAAUAUAAAAAUUAAAUAAUAAAAAAUAAGUUAUUUUGUUAAAAAUAAUUUUUAUGAAAAAUAUAAAAGUAUUUUUUAAUUAUAAAUUAUUUUCUCUAAAUAAACAAGACAUUAUUUUUUUUUAACAUUUGGACGGAAUAUGAGAUAAAAAAAAAGUAAAAUUAAUAUAUGUAACGAUAUAUGGAUUUUUUUUUAAAAUGACAUGAAUUUUUAUGAAAUCACAAUUUUAAAUUUUAUAAAAUAAAAAAUUAAAUUAAAAAAGUUUAAUUCUUUCAUUAUAGUCCUUAUUUGAAUAGCAGAAAGUAACAAAGGAUAAUUUAAAACAAAAUAGUAUCUUUUUUUAAUUAAAAAUGUGAUACUAUUAUAUUAUUUAUAUUGUCUAUAUUUUAAAAUAAAAAUAAUAUAAAACUGCUUUUUUUUUUUAAAAAAAAAAAUUGCUAUAAAGCGGCAUUGGUAAAAUAAAUAUCCAACAAAACAAAAACAAAAA
rnacentral:lncRNA from 1 species